CACAUUACCCAAUUGCUAUAGGAUUCAUUCUACCCAUGUCUAUGAAGUAUGUAAACCAGUCCACCAAGUCAGUCCACCACCCUUACACUAGUAAAAGAUGGGAGCAAGGCUCUAUCCAAAAUAGGAAUGAGUUUACUUAGGUAUAGUAGCAAUACCAAGACCAGAUCAGAGGAGAUAUUCCCACUUUGCUAUCAAAAAAGAUGGGUUUCGGGCAACAAAAUCAGUCUUGUUCCGCUGCUCUAGCUCUAGGUAUUCUAGAAGGAAGUAACCGACCUGACAAGUAACGUAGCUAGUGACAAAAGCAAGAAAAGGAAUCAACUUAUAUAAUAUGUUAAUAGGAGUUGACAUCUUUAGGGUCGAAUACUGGACUUGUCUCCUCUCUUACAACUAUGAACUGCUUCCCUUGUAAACCCUUAACCUCUAAUAAGUGUUAACCUCGACCCGACCUCUGUUAUUAAUUAGUAACAAGUUCUUCUAUACCUCUAGCUAUCAUCUCGCUGGCAACUAAUCCUCUCCUCUGGCUCCACAAACACAUAGCAAGUAAGUCCGCUGGACUACUAUCGAUCAAGGCACCGGACUAAAGUAUAUGCUUGGCUCUAUGUCUUUGUAGUAGUUACUUGCCUAGUGUCUUGUCUGCUUGCCCGGGGCUUGUACCCUCGAAUAGAAGUCGCCAAUCUAGCGAUACCAGACUCUCUGAAUGCAAAUGAGAAUGAAAUCAGUGGUGAGUAAAGUAACCCCCAUAACGUCAAAAGCCAAAUGAGACCACUAAAGCGAGACGACCUAGAAGGCUAGACCUUCAAAGACCUAAUUGGGAUUGCUUGUUGAAGGACAGGAAGCUUGAGAAACACCUAUAACAAUAAUGGAAUAACACAAUAGGAAAUACAUGAAGUUAAGCCGGAGAUCCAGAUCAUUAGAAAUAGAUAAGCGGUUCGAUAGGUCUUUAUACUAUACUAUUAUCCGAUAGGUCUUUAUACUAUACUAUUAUAAGUAUGCGCGUACCUUAAAAUGUGUUCAUUUGCUUUCCAAGUGCUUAUCUCUUCGCUAUCAUCCUUAUGCUAAUGCGAAUAUCCCGUUUUCUUUCAGUUCUUCUUUCUCAAAUAUCCUGUUCUUUUCUUCCUUCUUAAAGAGAUAUGUCUCCUGCCCCAGUGUUGUUUGCAUCUCUAAUCUGACGUUAUUCUUCAGGAAAGAGUUGCCCAUUUCUUCUUUCAAUUUGACUAAGGAGAUUCAAUUGCUAACAAGCCCUUCGUUUCGUGUUUAUACUAUAUAAAAGAGCCUUAUGUUUCCAAGGCUAUCGCACCUCUAUCUUACGUCGGAGUAACGAGUUCACUUUCCAUUUCACUAACGACUGGUACAACACUAUAAGACUCUCCUCGAAAGGCAUAAACAGCUUUCCUUAAGACUUAUGGCGGCGACUGCUCUUAAAAAGGCUCCAUAAACCUUGAAUUGUCAUUUCUCAUCAAUAAAAAGAAAUGAGAUUUGUGUGUGCUCUAUGAGAUCGGUAAGAUUGGAAAGAGUGAUAUACGAGUGUCUGAUGGAUUUUUCUUAGAUCUUGUCUUGGUUCUAUUCGUUCUGGUAUUGCAAUCCUCCCUUUGAGUAAGUUACCCAGAAUAAGAAGGCGGCAAUAGAGGUGGGAAUUCACUAGUUAUUCCAGAUGCAAGCAUCUUUCCCUACUUUUCAAAAAAGCUGCUUCGUGACACCUUUCUCAUGGGCAAAAGCCUUGAUUUGCUACUCUCCUUUGCGAUAUUAUACUCUCCAUGGACUCACCCGACCCGAACUCUACUACGCCGCACUGACACCAGCACUCGAACCCUAACUUCUACUUUCUGCUUGCAGUUGAUUUUAUACUUCUUGAGCAACCAUUAAUAAGUCUGGACCAGUAGGGCCGGGAAGAGAUUGGAGUGUGCCGAUAGGAAUCUUAGAAUGGAAUGUAGCAACGGUUAAGAGCACUAGGGUAGAACUUUACUGCUUAUAAUUAUUCUCUAGCUUAGGAUCUUUAUCCUACUCGCUUCAUCAUUAAGAUAUGAUUACCUUACCAACUAGCUGCCCCCUAGCUUUAAGGCGGAAUCCGGAACUACCCUUUCUUUUCUUCCCUUGACUCUCUAUCCUCUUGCCUUGCCCCAACUCAUAUACUCAUCUGAUUGCCACAACUCAUAUACUCGGUUAAGCCUUAGCCUUUGACUCUAGAAUUCCACUUCACCAAAACACGGGAUUUUGGAUAGCCAAGUCAUUUUCCUUCUUAGCCGGGUUCACUUAUCUGAUCUUUUCACGUUUUCCCGUGUUUUUUCAUAGCAAUGUUAUUUUGCCUCCUAGAUCACCCAUUGGGAAUUCGAUUUAUGACGAAACCCGUGUUUUUUCAUAGCAAGGGUGAGACUCCUGCCGCGUAACAUUAGUAGUUACUUGGCCCCCUAAUAGAGAACCCCAAAGUCAUGCUCAUUUUAUGAAACCCCGGGAAAAAACAUAGCACUGGCAUUUUACCUACUAGAGCUCCCCAAUUGACUUCUUUUUUGACGAAACCCGGGGCCAAGCGUAUACUAACGUAGCGACCAAGCUUAGGCGUAAGACUAAGUGCGGUAGCCAGUAAAGAGUUAUUCCAAGUCAUAACCAAGUCCUGUUUUUGGGAGCGGUUCAUAGCAAAGUCAUUUCCCUUCUUAGCUAGGUCCAAAAGACGGAUUCUUUCACGAAACCCGGUAAACAGCGCUGCCGCUUUCCCGCUCGCUACCGUUUCACUCAACUCCUACCGCUUUUCAGCUCGCUGACGCUCUUUUAACUCGCUACCGUUUAGCUCAGGCUCCUACCGCACAACGUCCGAGCACAGAUACUGUAAUAACUUCGUUAUGACUUCUGACUAUUGCUGACGCACAACAUUAGCAGUUGUUUGUCCCGUUGCUUGGUCAUUAGUAGUUGCUUGGUCGAACACAUAACUAGUAAUAACUGGGGAACUCUAGCGGCCCUGCCGCGCAACAUUAGUAGUUGCUUGGCCCUAUUGUUGUUACUGCCGCACAACUACUUCCGUAGUUGCUUGGCGUCUAGUAGUUGCUUGGCAAACACAUCUUAAGGCAUAGCUCAUCAUAAAUAUACUUUAUGUUGUUUCUUAUUGUCAAAACAACUGCCGCGGAACAUUAGUAGUUCCUUGGCCCGAGUGUCUUGGCGGUCAUUAGCAGUUGUUUGUCCCGUUGCUUGGCGUCUAGUAGUUGCUUGGCCCCGCUUGUUGCUGACUUGAAAACAACACUUGAUACUUGACCUGGAGCAGAAGGAGACUCCACUGAAGUACCUUUACCGAUAAUGCCGCGCUACCAUUAAAACCCAGUACUAGAUGAUUUGAUUCCCUUAACGAAAACUCUGGCAGCAAGAUCUUGCUUGUUUCAUUUCCAUUUCACUUAUUUUCUAUCCAGUGCGCAUAUAAGAAGAUAGGAAUAUAAAUAUAAGAAGAUAGGAAUAGACGAGAGCACUUAGAGUUGGUCCCCGGGUCGGGAUAUAAAUGGAAAUAGACGAAACCUUCCUUUAAACGAUACCGCUUCUCUUGAUCAACUUGAACUUAUUGAGGGCUACUCCACUUGACUUUUGCAAUAUACAAUACUUUCUACUGCUUGAGCAACCAAGUAGGGCCUGUGUGAAGUCAACCACUCAUUGAAUCUAGAUCGCACAUUAUAGAAUCAAGUAAAAAACAUCAUUGUUGCAAAACUAUCCCCGCUCUCUCUGACAAUAGCUUAUAUCAUAGACUAGACGUAAAGCCAAUAACGGAACUCUAUGACAAGGAGUGUAAGCCUACUUAAGCGAACAAAACAUCUGACUUUAUGGACAACUUAGUGGUGACAACACAUCUGACUUUAUGGACAACUUAUAGACCAUAGUAACUCCUAACCGAGCUUAUGUUGCUUGUUUACUUGAACUUGCAAUAUAGUAGGGGAAGGGGAGCGCAUUAACUACAGGUGUUUCAACUUGGCAACGCCCCUUGCUUUCCUAUUUGACUUGAUACUUUACUAUGCUAUUUGACUUCCUGCCUUGCCUAUUUGACAUCCAGCUUGCCCACUAGCUGUGGAAUGGAACUACUCCUUUUCUUUCAAUCGAAUGCCUCAAGGCCUCUUUCUUAGCUUAGGUUAUCUCCUUGACAAAAAAAUAGACUACUACGAAGGCUGGUGAGAAUGUAAUGGAACUAUAUGGCGGAGAACUAACGAGAAAUCUUUAUCCAACAAUCACUUAAACAAAAAUCCCCGGUCAGGAAAAGCAAGCUCUAUCCAAGAGAGCAGGAACUUUGCACUCUAUUACUUAGAACUAGCAGUAACACUCGAAAGUAGGCCACUCACACUGCAACACGAGGGAAACUCACAAUGUAAAGGGAACUUCUAUAUUAAUAAAGAAUACACAGAUAGAUGGACUGAUACUAUAGAAAUAAGUGUGGAAUGGUCUUCUCAACCACUGAGAAAUCAAAACAGUAGGGUUUCACUAAGUCCCCUGCAGCACUCUUACCCGACGAUGACACAGCCCCAUGGAAAAGCUCUAUUCUUCCGCUUAAUGCUUCUGCUUGCUGACGGACUCCAAUGCGUAUCUCUUUUCUGCUAGACGGACUCCAAUGCUUAUCUUUUUGAUCUAUUGUAGGUUCAACCCCAGGUUAUGGAUCCAUGGUUACAGGCCAGCUAUCCUAUUGUCUCGUAUGGAUCGAUACUAGAAAACCCUACCAAGUGCCCGUGGAACGCAUUUAAAGGGCUAGAGCUAGAGACCGACGGGGAUCGGAUCGAGAAAACCAAUCGCGGGGAAGGCGGAAACAGCACCCAUUGAUACUCUUUCGGAAAAUGGGAAAACUGCUGGUAAGGUAAAAGGAGACUUUUAGAGGGCAAAAGGACGCACUUAUCCUAACACUUAAACAGAUGCGGUUGUAUAUCCUUUGUUUUCACUCACACCACUCUAUAUGGAUGGUGAUGAUUAGUCUCUUUGGUUAUUAGUAGAAAUAGAAGAAAAGCGCGUUAGCGAGUUCUGCCCACUACACGGUUGAAAGUAGGAGUCUAAAGUCAGCGGACCUACCCUACUGAACUUGAAAGUUGCAAAGCCAAGAAAACGAUCACUUUGAUACUUCACUCAAUAGGUACAGCCAAGAGAACCAGAACAAAAUAAUACUUAGGUAACAAUAGGUACAGCCAAGAGAACCGGAACACCAUUAUAUACUUGCUAGCCCUAAUAUACCUGAACUGAACGGAACGAAUUUGUCUUAUUCCCUCUUGCCCCCGGACUUUGAUUAUGGCCUUCCCGCUGUAGCUCAAAGCAAACUCCGUAAGCGCACCUUUCCUAACUCACUAUAGCACCCCUAAAUGAGAACCUAAACGGAACUUCUACAGAGAGCAUUGCUUUCUUUUACCGGGGUCCAAAUUGAUUGAUGAUACCCUACUUUCGCUGUUGCUUGCGCCAAACUAAGUUAGCGCUACGGUAUAGGUUGCUUGUUCCUAAGCUUGUUUCUUAUUAAUUUCAUGCGCCUGCCUUCCUAUUCUCUUGUUUCUUAUUAAUUUCAUGCGCCUUCCUAUUCUAUCAGAGAUUAAUAAACACAGCACUUAGAGCCGGUCUAUACUACUAUUAGAGCCGGUCUACAACUAUAAGGGUUCAAAACCCAGAUACUCCACUUUCCACUAAACAGCUUUGCCUGAGAGCAGCGAGAUCCAAAACUCCUUUACCGCCACAGCUUUGCCUGAGAGCUACGAGAUCCAAAACUCGCCACUGCUUCCCUUUUGCUUUUGCUUCAAAACUCUGUUAUGGAACUUUUGCCGUUCACUUCUCUAACUCUAACGCGAAUAGUAGUGUUCGUUCUGCUGCUUGUUGAGUUCGGCGUUGCUUGCUGAAAACACGGGUGACUUGCUUGCUCCCUUGCUUCCUCACUUAUGACUGCUGGCUCUGCUCUACCAAAGUUCCGGGAAUAACAGAAUCGAGUGCGGUGUACUACUUAUGUCAUUUCUUAAAAACAGAGCAUUGCUUAUUUAAAGCUAACGUUAGCGCCCCGAUAGCUCACUAAGGCUUCCUUUCCUUACCGGGGUGUUUAAGCAACUUGACUUGAUACGUGCAUGAACUACGCAGUAAGCUUCAUUGGGCCAGUGUGAGGUAAACACCUUGCUUUAAUUAAGGGGAAUGAAAUACAAAAGAAUAAGAAGUCGCAUAAUAUAGAAUGGAGUAAACGAACUGCUUGCUUUAAGUUAGAAUAGCUAUAGGUGCUUGGCUUGUUGCAUCUUAUUAGUGUAUCUAUGCUUGUCAUUAUUGAACCUAAUUCCUUACUUCUAAAGCAACAACAGUUUGGCCAGUGCUCAGUCAACUUUCUUCUUCUGAGACUUAUUUCAAAUCAUCUAUCUAUCUAUCUUGCACAAUAUAGAAAAUGAAAUAUGGUAAACAAACGGUAUUGCUUCCUAACUCACUCUCUCUCUCUAUAAGGCACCCGCCGGAAAGUAUGUUGAAUCGAAUUGAGGCACAGCACUGUUAUCAGAGUUGAGACUAUCGCCCCUGCCUUUCAUAAUUCAGAAUGGAAUUUGGCGUUAUCCGUUUCUACUAGCGAAAGACACACACCUAUUUGAGAAUGGAAUUUGGCGUUAUCAGUAUAGAUCUCAGUAAAAGCACACUACUUACUCUCAAAGGGAUAAUGUAGGCUCAGUUACGUUGCUUGGACCACAACUCCGUUUAGGCUGGAACUUCAUCUUUCUCGUUUUAGGGUUUACAGCCAGCCCCGCCCCGAAGAAAGCUCUUGUUGUUGAAUUGAGGCACAUGGUUAUAUAAUCUAUUUGUAUUUACUGUGGAACCCUUACUUAUUACAUCAAAGGUCUGCUCGAUUGAAUGAAGAAGAGUAACCCGAUCCACCGCUGAUCUCUUGUACCAGUGUAGUGUGAUAAGCCAGGCAUCAAAGAAAAGCAACCAGCUAACGACGCCUUAACGUUUUGAUGCUUGCUAAAGCAGAGUGAUUUUCAGGUUGGAGAGUCCGGAGAACAAGCAAACAAGUGAACAAACAACGGAACAAGAAAAGAAUGAAGCCUAUCCACACAAAUAUCUGAAUUAUUAACAAUACAGCUUUUGCUUCCUUAAAGAACAAAUAGGCGCCGAACACUGGACCGGGCCUACUGCUUUCCAACCUUCUUUUGACCUUGCACGCCUUUCUCUUAUUAUAUGAAAUUGUCUUAUAUGAAAUGUUUGAUAUGAAAUUAUCGUAUUAUAUGAUCUUCUCGGACCCUUUUUGCCAAAUCGGUGUCAAUAUUCUAUAGUAUGAGGUUCAACCAUUUGCGGAGCUAGUUCUAUUCCUCUCUCCGCUGUUUCGCCUCCCGCUUGCUCUAGGAUCUCAGGCCCUAAGCUAGAGCCGGCAUGGGAUAAGCAUGUUUCCCGCACCCCAUGAGUGGUAACUUGCUCGACCCCCUGCUUCGAGAGCUGACACCUCUCAAUUCCCAGUCUACCCUUUUUCUCAACAAGAGCACCCUUAACUCCUCUUUCAGGUAACUUAAGAAGUCUUCUGUCUAGCUUCGCUAACCUUUUCUGUGUGACAACAAGAUUUCAUUAUGUAGCUUCUCUGUUCCCAGGAGCUUCGAAGUCCUCGGCUCGGGGAUGUUGCUUUUCUAAUCCCAGCUCUUGCAACCGUACUUGUACUGGGAUAUGAGAAAGGCCGUAUUUACUUUACACCACCUACAAGCUUCGGAAGGUCGAGAUUUUAGGAAGUGUCAAAGAUGUCGCCAUCUUCGGGGACAAGAACAAGCUCAAUAAAAGCUUCCUUUCGAGGUUUCUUCUGUCUUUUGUCUUUUGAAAAUACCUAUAGGUUGAAGUUCACUCUAUAUCACUAAUGAUUCUAAGGGCAUUUAUUUGCCAUCGGCUCGGAUUCUAAUGAACAAGCUCCAAUCCACAGAGAAGAGAAGGAAGAGGAGAAGAGCUGGAAUAGUUUCAUAUAUGGAAGCCGGCCUUUCUUUAAGUACUAUGCUUCUUGCUAGUAGAUUGGAAAUGCUCACACCCAACCCCGUCAUUAUUUUGUCUUUGUUCCGUGGGGUAGUAGCAGUUACUUCCCUUUGUGUGUCAGUCUUCUAUUCGUUGUCAAUUAUGGGCCUUACACUGACCCCAGGAGGUACACUUUAGGUCCUUUACUCUCAUUCUCAAGGCAAUUCCAUUCUGGUGUGCGGAAGCCUGCUUUCUGCUAAGUACUUUAAGAAACGGCCUUAGCUGCUCAUCCCAUAACCCGCUUCCCUCGACUGCCUUCAGAGAAGAGUAGGGAGAUUUCGAAGAAUUCCAUUCCAGAAAAGUGGUCAAGGUUGGAAGGAAGAACAAGGCUAACGACGUAGCAUACAUUAGGCAAGACUAUCUUAUGAGAGUCUAAUUAGCGAGGACUAGCUCUAUUUGCUUGUGAGCGUACGAAGAGCGGUUACGAAUAAGAUCGGCAUGCAUGGUGAGCUAGGAGGUAGGGCUUAUUAUUUCGCGAAGGAAGGUCUACGAUCAGUCAACUGAAUGCUCUUUGAUGAUCUUUCUCUUUGGGUUGGUUGGGGCCCACGGGACUUAAGUGACUGGUGGCAACAACACUCCGUGCAUCCUUUGGAUGUGAAAGCCCCGCAUAGAGUUAAGCGCUAAGGGAAGCGGAGAGCUAGAGGUUAAUAGGUAAUGAAAUAGAGUGAGGAAAGCAGCUUCGGUUCAGUUCGGGUGCGCUUCUCUGACCCGGGAACCUUAUUACCAAGAUUAGAUACUCACCACCUAAGCGAGCCUUGACUACGAAAGCGAAACGUUGCGGCUAUUCUUCAUAUGUCAAAAAGAAAGAAAGUGAGAAGGAUUUGUUGAUAGUUGCAUUCUGACUUUAGAGUGGAGAGCAAGCACUAGAGUGAGUUUGAUUCUUCUACUUCUUUGUUUCAUCCUAUUUGGAGAGUGUAAUAUGAAGCUGUAUCCAGAUGUAGGGUAAGAGAGCGGUGUUGUCGGUUCUGAGUCUUAAGCGGUUGGUACGACUUAAUCAUUCGGUUCCUUUCCUAAAGUUGAGUUAGAGUUAAGCGAGUGAGAGGGGCGAUCUUAUUGCAACACCGCCAAGUCACUGCCAACAUAGCCCUGUUUUAUAGGCUUGAAAUGAACGAAAACAUCACAGUAGUCGUUUGAUGGCAAAUGCCCUAUAGACUUAUCGGCUUUAGAAAUGCAUUGACGCCUAACAUCUUGACCCUAUUGCUCUGCUCGGCUCUUAACAUCUUUGGUCAUAGUCAAUUCCAUUCUUAUGUACCAAGUCCUGUGCUCGCCUCACUCGAUCGACUCAGGCGUUGGUUUGAUUCCUUUUAUAUGUACCCGCUAAGGCAACCCUGUCCGCAUUGUUUUUGAUGUUUAGGAUUGAGCUUCUGAUGUAGUCAGUAGGAACCGUUGUUAUGUUUUGAGCGGAUCCACACACACCUGAACAGACUAGUCUACGCCCAGCCAGCCCGUAAGCCUUUCCCACCCCAGGAAAGCGAGCCCAUAAUAAGAGUCAGAUACCUGCCACCCUAUCCAAAUCGAAAAAUGAACAAGAAGAACGAUAAAGUAGGUAGACCCAUAGGAAGAAACGGACAUAAAUCUUGGGUACAUCCAAGAAUGAAAGAAGAACGGAGGGCUUUCUUUGAGCUUAUAGGUCUGGGAGUUCUUAGCUAAAUUGACUAACGCUCCGACUACCGAAACUAGCUUAGGAGCUUUUAAGCGGAAAUGAAAUGAAUCUAUCUCUUCCUACGUAAUUGGAAGAAGCAUAAAGCAGAAAUGACUUUCUGAAUCGUUACUUUCCUUUCACCUAUAGAAUCUUAUUUCUCUACGGUAUAUAUACGAGUAUCAAAUCAGAUUUCUCUACGGUAUAUAUACUAGUAUACUUUGGAAGGUAUAUCUACUAGUAUACUUAUUAAGCUGGGGCGGUCUCUUUUUAGUAAGUUGAAGGCCAGGCCCUUGCUUAUGGAUAAGCCGUUGUUUUCCCUCACAAUGCUGAAACCCAUAAAGUGUGAGUGCUGAGCCCUUUGCUUUGCUGUCAAUUUGACUCGGAAAGAAAAAGGCUUCAUUAAGUGGGGAUCUCCUCUAGUUCUGACCGUCCAGGUAUACUCUAUAGCUCUCCGCCGUAAGAACCUAAGAGCUAACUGCAGGCAGGAUAUAUUCUCAAGAAAGUCCAAUUGGGAGCCUAUCUCUUAAUCGGUAGCUUACGAGCAUAUCGACGUUCCAUCUCUGGGAGUCCAUCUUCUUUCCCGUUUGUUUAAGUUGGAGUUCCCUUCGGGAGGUGGGAAAGUUAGCUCCACCGGCCAGUCUCCUAGGGUCUAAUACUGGGAGUGACUACGGUUUCAAGGGGAGACGGCAAGUUAACAAGCAAGUUGAUUUCACCAAUACAGUGAGCUAGCUCCAUUCUUUAUUCCAGUGUGGAACUAGAACCAGCCUAUAAUCUAAAAGCAUUACCUACGAAGAUGGAUUAGGAUAGCUCAAAGACAGAUUAGCGGAAUUCCGAGUGAGUUUCUAGGCUAAGGAACGAACUUCCCGACAUUCCAUUUGAACCUUCGCAAAGACAAUGGUUGUAUAGAACGAGCUCAUAGCCCUAAUAGCAGAUUGAAACUGGAAUAGCUAGUAUGAAUCGCAAUCCCAAUGCAAUGCUUCUCUCUCUUUCCCUCUAUCAUUCCACUUCAUGUAAUAUUAUUUAGAUAACUUCAUGUAAUAUUUUUUAGAUAAGAUAUAUGGAGUAGGGAUAGAUAAGAUAUAUGGAGUAGGGACCAGUUAGCUGAAAGAGCGAGCCAAUCUUUCUUUCUUUUGAAAUCUGAAAAAAGAAAAGGAAUUUGGGAAACCAUAUGGUCUGCUGGCCUUAUCUCUACUCGAGUGUGUGAAGCAGGUUUGAAGGAUGGGAGAGAACAAUGGUAAACGGCUUUAUCCAACGGUGAACCAUCAAUCGCAAAGAUCGAGCCAUCAAAAGAAAAGAGGUGGAACAGAUCAACGAUCCUUCUAAUCCUAUUGAUCUAAGGAUGGAACAAAGCCCCGUCGUAGCUUCCUAUUAUCCGGUAAGCCGUUAAUACCCAGGUAGUUCUUAGAGGGUUGUGAGAGGGAGAAUCUGAAGGAGAUCAAGAGUCAACCAUCCUUCGCUGCAAAAACAAUACCUGCUGUGGACUUUGUGGACGUCUCAAAGCUUCCAGACCCUUGUUUUGAGGGGGAGAGACCACACAUAAAGAUAGCGCAGGACGCCUCCCUUCUAGUUCGAGGGCUUUACUACAGCAAGCAUAGCUUAAUCGGUCACCUUCAUCUUUCUAAGAUCCCCAUUCUUCAUCUUUCUAAGAUCCCCAUUCUUAGGGUAAGGAAGAUGGCAAAGCAGCUGUGGAAACCAAGCGAAAAUCAAAAGCGAACCUAGCUUUGUAAGGGUGAAUUUCGGAUUGAUAACAAGUUCUUCCUCAGAUUCAAGGAAAAGAGAGAAAGGCUAACGAACGUGGAUGUGUAAAAGCCUAAAGGGCGGAAGCAGCAAGUAGCUGGGGAAUGGCCAGAUUCCUCUCUGCCCUCUGCUCGGCAACGCAAUUCCCAUGCUCUAACGAGCACCAGCACCCCUCUUUCAAACUCACCUCACUCUCACUCUAGCUCAUUUCCUUCCGGCGUGACAUGGAUGAUCCGCCGACCGAAUCCAUUGCUCACUUCACCACGAUCCAUUAGGUGAAACGGUUGUGCAAAGUGUGUUUUUUUCAUAUAGGCAGCGUGGUUAUAGUACUCUGAUUGUGCCAGCCAUGCAAUUCGUACUUCAUUGGCUGAAUGGCUAUACACUCUCUAAAUGGAGGCUCGAGAAGUGUUUUCUUCAUCAAAUUCCAAUCACUGAAAUGGAGUAAUAGCACGCUACUAUAGCAGAUGCUGUAAGGCUCGCUCCAAUUGUAAACGAAGCACGUAGAAAACGAACUGCGCCAACGCCGGAGAACCAACACAGUUUCUAGAUAAUAUUAGCUUUGGAUCAAUUUGAGACAGCAACCUAGUGUUGUUUAGGAAAGCCUUUUGCACCUCAAAAGAAGUCAAAGAGAGAAUGCCUCACCUAAGUUAGGAUCUAUGUAGGAGGAGGGCGCCUACAGUAAAGGGAUAUGUGGUUACUACCACAACUUUAAUGCGGAAAGGCCUUAGUCUUCGGUCAUAACUUUCGCAUUGGUCAUCCAAUAAAAUCCCUGCCGAAACAGCACCGUCUUUCUUUUUUUAUCCAAUCCCAGCAAAGCUACAACUCGAGAACUUUUCAUUCCCACUUUAGUGUCCUACCAACUACCUAUGGCCUAUUUUUGUUCCACUCUGCUUUACACUCCAAGGGUUCUUUUGGAUCAUAAGCCUAAAAGUUCCAUUCAUGGCCUGGUUUCAGAUUGAAGAGAAUCAUAAGUCAUUAAUUGGAUUAUUCAUAUACGGCUGCCCCUUUCAAGUUAUCCUUAUCUACUGAGGUAUCUGCCCUACACACAUUGGUUGAAGGACGUUCCUUCUUGUUCUCUAUAUCAAAUGAUGGAUCAUUUUGGACUUGUGCGGUUAUUCUGCCUCAACCGACUGGACCACUUUUCUCUCUUGGAUUUGAUAAGAAAGAAGGAAAAACUAACCAUCAAGCAUGCGGGUACAAAGUUGGAUCAAAUGCGGAUUCCUCCACUGUUUCCUUUGCUUGAAAUCUAGCUUCGAUCAGAGUUUGCCUUUGCUGCUGCGGCGUCUUCCUUGGGAUACCCACACCACCUAUGUAGAAUAGAGUUCCUGGAAACGUUCCUUUAAGUAUAAGUGUUUUAAAGACCCGGGCAGAUGCUUACGAGGAGCUAAAGACAUAGCCGGUGGAUAUAGUAAUUCUAAGUCAAGUCAGAUGCUUACGAGGAGCUAAAGACAUAGAUAGCGAGUAUAUCCACAAAUUCCUCAGUCUUUCGCUCUCCAACCGCACACUGGGAUUUGGAAAGAAAACGAACAUAAAGCUCGAGCUAAUAUAAUGGUUUUAGUUGCACGUGGAUUGUAAGUUCGUGGAUUCUCCAAAAUAGAAAUAGACUAUUGCCAACGAAUGAAUUGGAAGAGGGGUACUCGCUACUUGGUUAAGUAAAGUCGCCUAUCCAUUUGUUUAUAGCAACCCCUGCCCGGGACGCAGUAUCACUAUUCUAGGCUACAUCCUAUAACGAAUAAGCUGACUAUUUCCAUCUUUCUUACGAAUAUAAGGGAGCUCGGGAUAGCACAACAAACCGAACCAAGACCUUCUCUGACUGACGGGUACUAUACUCAUCCACACUUUUUCCAUCAUCCGAUCUAGAUGAAGAGAGGUGUCGUUUACCAGUGGCGCAACAUACUAAUAGUCAGAAAGUCGCCAGGAGCCGUAGCUCAAUAGCUCUAUUUAAUAGAAUCCGUUUUCUCAAAACAAAAAGGGCUACUAUACUAGCAUGAGUCAGAAAAGAAGCACAUCGUACGAGCAAGAACCCCGCCUAUAAAUAAAGGUGGUAAGAAUCGUCGCUCCAGUGCCUGGUAUGAUAAAGGUAUAGCAUAUCGAUAUGACCUGUACCCAUUCGAUUUUCGCUUUUCUUCGAAAAAGAUUGUAUGUGCACUACUUCAUGGGUAGAUACUCAAAUACAAGCAAGGGACUAUUUACUUGGUUUUACUUACACUAACUCUCAUGCUAUAAAUGUAUCCAAAAGCCGCAGCUAGUCAAUCAUUCUUGUUUCACGAUCCGCAAAUUCCUCAAUACAAAGGCGUGACUCACCAAACUCCGAAAUAAGUCAAACUAAGUCGGGCAUGCAGAUCCCUUUUGCUACGAUGAACAUUAGUAAAGUUCCUAUUUAUGUGCCUUUAUCACCAAUUCUUAUUCACAAAUAAUGGAUCAAUAGACUUCUUUUCCGUACACUUCGUAGUCUACUCACCAACUCUUUGCCUUUGAUCUGGGACCCUUGAGUGACAUGAUUCUUAGUAGUCUAUGAUUAUUACAGUAGGUACUCUCUAACUAUUACCCAGACCGAGAUAGAGAUGGACGAAGGAUCUCCUAUUAUGCUAAUAGAGCAAUAAACCCCCGGGUACAAGAAUACUAAGCAGACUUUCACUCCGCCUUUCUAGUAGCAAUUAGUAGCAAUUCAGACAACAAACUUCCUCUUAUUAUUUCGCAAAUGCCGCUGAUGCGUAAUACAUUGAGUUGGACAGCUUUCCUUGAGCAGAUAGGACAGAGCGCCAUCAACAGACGCGAAGAAAGCACCUAACUGGGGUUGAACUGAACAGCCUCGAUCCUCAUCUCCUCACAGAAAUACCUUGCCUAGCUCUACUUUAUUAUAGCAGGAACCCAGAGUAAGCCUUUCUCUCGUGGCUUUCGCACGUUGAUCUUUCUAUACGAGCGCUAAAAGGAAAAAGGGAAGCAGUGUGCAUAAGUGAAAGAGUGCAAUUCGUCAUCUGCAAUCGGAAAGUGACCUUCUUGUAUAGGGCGGGCAAGAACUGGUAGAGCAAGUAGUUGUCGUUUCUAAAGUCAGAGGGAAUGCUACUCCGCAGAUUCCACUCGUACACAAGGAGUAGAUGCAAUCUUUCUGUUUCAUCUGUUGCCAGAGGUAUAGCUUAUAGGUAUGGGAGAGUCUAUAUAUCCAACUUGUGCUUACGCGAGCGGAACGGGGCGCUACCACUAAUUGUAGUUGCUGUGCUGGUUGACUUAUUUCUUUAGUGGCUGUAGUUGCUGGUUGACUUAUUUCUUUAGUGGCUUUUAGGCUUGGUUGGUUUCCUCGGGGCUAACGGAGCUCCCUGUGCUCGAAAGAUUAUUGUCCCGUCCUGUUUGCCCUAUAUAGUAUCUCCGCUCGAAAGUCAGAGUAUAAAGAAUUUCAGACAGAAUACUUAGUAGGGUCAGCAGCGAGAUCAGUGAUUGGUUUGCUUUCCCGAGGAGUGGUGGCCAUUUAGAUUGAUGUUUUCCUCCAUCCUCUAUAGCAACUGAUCCUUACUCUGUCUGAUCUUGUAGACUUUCCUUGCACUAUUGAUUCUCUCGUAGACUUAACAAGCACGAGAACUCAAACUUCUAUUUAUGAAUCGACAACACCUGACCUCACUCUACUUGUUGAUUUAUCCGCGAUAGAGGUUAUUGGUGAUUUAUUGGCUUGACGUCUAUGAUAGAGGUGAUUGAUUGUAUCGGUGCUGUAGCUCCUUGUAAUGGGGGAGGCUCUUUACUUGACCUUAGUUGUCGACGAUAGAGGUACUCGUGUGAAGCAUCUAUUUCCUAUGUUGUCUUUACUGAGGUACCCGUGUGAAGCAUCUAUUUCCUAUGUUGUCUUUACUUACGAGAAAGAAAUCAAGAAAGUCAUACUCAUUCAUUACCAAUCCAUAGAAUUAAUGAAUAGGAAAAUCAGAUCAAUUCCAAAUGAGGGUAUAUGUUCCUAACCAGCUCUAGUUCCUGGUAUUACACUAACUCAAUCUCCUUGCUACUGCUCGGGGGGCUGGGGCAAAAAAGAAAGACGCUAAUCCAGAGGCUUCGAACUAUUGAUUGGAAAAAAUAGGAAAGCAUAUGGGGCAAGGCCCUAAUAAGAUAGAUCAUUGCUAGAGAGGGCCAGGAAAGUGGCGAUUAGAAAGAGGUGUUUUUACCUUUGAGACUAUUUGACCGAGGGUUAUCUCCCUGGCAAGUGAAAUGGAUUCGAUUCUCCCCCAAUCAACGAGGUUUUCACGUCCCAAGCACACACAGGUUAUUUUUCUUCUAUCACGUGCACAUUUUCAAAGCAGAUGAAUUUGCUAACAAGCCAAAAGCGAAAGUAGAGGAAAGAGCAAGAGAGCAGUACUCGCAGAGAGAGAAACAAAGACCCAGAUCGCAAAGCACGUAGGAAAGUCAUAGGAGUUCAGAUGCGGUGACAGCAAGAGCCUUAUUGCCCCGCCCCUUACUAACGCCUAGUUUCUUUUCUUUCGUCCUGACCUUUGACUUUGCAUGCUAGGCUUGGCCCGACUCCUUAAUAUAGGGGAGUUGACUUACUUUGUGGGGUAGGCUUUUUGACUGACUUGUUAUGUGUUUUUUCAGUCAUAGUUCCGAAUUCAGUUAGAAGAAGCACACCGCUCGUCACCAACUCAUUCACCUGGUCACCAACUCAUUCACCUCUAAGCCAACUCAUGAACUUAGGGUAGAAGACCGCCUUUUCUUCCAAUAGAAUAGAAAGAAGUAACACUGGAAAAGGGGUAGGAAAAAGGUAUGCUAUGUUGUUGGAUCCGUAGAGCAAGGGGCGAGGUCAACCAUCAGUGAUUUAGCAGUGCCACCUGUCACUUUAAGGGUUCUCUCAUGCACUGUUUCAGGGAGAGGACAUCCGGCAGGACAAUCAGCAAGGGGAGCGGCAAAGUCUUCGAGCAGACAGUCAUCCCUAGAUGUAAAGGUAAGGGAAAGGGAGUGGGAAAUAGAGAAACCUUUAGUGUCCAUUUGAGAAAACACUCCUAUUCUUGUUCUUGUUGACGAACAAAAGAGUGGAUUCCAAGCUGGUUUCCCUACUUAGUGGAUCUAUAGAGAGAUAGAGCACAGGGGUGUUUACUUAUGCAAGGCAAUAAAGUUCGAGGCGGUAAGCAGAGCGGGACAAUGAGUUGAAUCGUCGGGACAAUCAGUGUUGUCAUCUAAGGAAAAAAGAAAUACAAAUAACGCACCUCACAAAGUAAGCUAAGGCGCAACCAACAAGAAAAUCCAAUCAUUGAAACUCGACGUCAUGCUAAGGCGAGUUGACCUGACCGCUCGAAAGAUGGCAUUCAAGCAGGGUGAAGGGAAUUGACUGCCCCAUACUCCACUCCAACCUGCGCCUCAAUUCGAACUUCCAGUAAGCAGGUGCUUAGAUUCGUAUCAGUACCAUUAGUCUCCCCUUUCUUAGUAGCAGCAAAAGCAUCCUAAAAGUAGUCAAUUCCAUUAUGCAAUUCCUAUUACCACUUCCGCGGUAAGUGAGUGGAUUGAGGUCAUAGAGAGGGGGAGUUGCAAGCUAUGAGGUCAUAGAGAGAGGGAGUUGCAAGCUAGUUCAAGUCCAGCAGCAAUCGGGUCUGUUCUGCAAGAGAAGUUAUGCGUCAGGAGAGGUGGGCAAGAAAGAGCACUGGGUUAGACAGAUUCAAUAAGAUAGUUGCCACUAGUAUACGAGGUUGACGAGAUAGAGUGCAAUUCCUACUUGCUGGUCGGUCCAGCUUCCUCACCUGUACUUUCUUAUGUAUCAAUUCUAUCUUUAUUAUGUAGCAAUUCUAUCUCAAGCUUCUGUAUUAAAUGCUUCUGUAUCAAAGCCGGUGCAGUACCAUAUUCUUCCUCAGACAGGCUAGGGACCCUGACUUACUAGGCGAGGCACCCGGAGACUUGAAACCCGAAGUCAGUGAAUUCCUUAGCAACCUGACCUAUGACUUUCAAUCUGCAUGUUAGAUCUGAGGCAAAAGCUAUAUCCUGUCCGAAGCCACUAGGGAGACUUAUCUUCUACAGGAACAGGCCUAGUAGCUGGGAGGAAGUAAACAGAUAUUAGAUAGGGAAGGGCAGAGUUAAGUACCGUGGCAGAGUAAAGUACAGGCGAGUCAAGAAGAAUCAGCUGGGUAUUGCGACUUUAGAGGGAAAAGAGAUUGGUUCGGUGCUAUAGUUCUGUCAACGAGAUCAUCAGCAGCUGUGAGAGUUGAAUACCGAGUGAACCUUUGGAAUUGAAGAAUCUCAUAUAGAAUAGAAGCAGUGUGAGUCAAAGUCUAGGGGCGGGUGCGUGUGUUUCAUCUUUGUUUGUUGGCGAAAGUGCCCUGUCCGUAUUUUAAGGCUUGAAGACCAGAGUUUCAUUCUGACUUUAGUAGAAGAAAUGAGUCAACUCUCUUCCACCGCUCCUGCAACUAAGUGUUUCUCCCUUGUAUUUCAUUCCAUAGUAAGAGCUUCGGCCUUUCCCUUUGAAGUAAUAUUCCUCUCUUAUAUACUUUAGCUCUAAAGAUUCCGAUUCCAUUAACCAAGAGUUCUGAACCAGGGAAUUCGAGAAUAGAUCCCCGGCAUAUGAGCCUGUUACUACUGUCUCUCUGCUCGACACCCUUGAUAUCAAACUAGCGCUACUGACUUGAAGUCUUUUACUACCUUUUAUCACUCUCCAGCUAAUGCUUCUCAUACUUUCACUGCUGAGCCCCAAGCUGCCCUCUUGACACAACAAUUAUGUAUUUAUAGCUUUAGUAUGCCUCUACUUGCUUGAAAGCCGAUACCAAUACCGAGAAGACCGUUCCUCAUAACCGGGAAUUCGACUCGAAACUGAGCAAUUGCACUCGGGAAUCUCACUUCAACUAUCAACUCUGGGAAUAGAGAAUACGGGUAUGAUACAACGCAUACAGCUAUGAAUAAGGUGCUGAAAGCCUACUAACAAUAAGAGUGGAACCAAUGCCAAUAGGAACUAAUAAUAGGAAUAACCCUAAGUAGUAAGGCUCAGUGAACUCAACUAGCAAGAGCAAGACCGAAACCCACUGACAGCAAGACGGACUCUUGACUUUAUAGAGCCCGCUCCUCGGUUAAAGUAGUCUAAACUCCAUUCUAUUGGCCUGUAACUACUGUAUCUAAUUCUUCAUCUACUGAAACAAAACCUUACUCACUAGCUUUAUCCUUACCCUCGUGCCCAGCGACUCCUUUAUCUCACCCUGUUGCGCCUUCCUUUCAUUUUCCUACCAGUACUUAUUUGGGUCUACCGCCAGUACUUAUUUGGGUCUACCGUUCCUGUCCUCAAUUCUGACUAAUACCAAUCCGAGUCUACUGACCCUGACCUUAAAGCAGUGUAUAGAAUAUCGGUUGACUCUCUUAUCUACUCGGGCAAUAAAGAGUUCUCUCCUGGGGCACUAAAGAUCCAAUUCAUUCUUUCUCAUCUGUAUGCUGGAUCAGAAUCUCAAGUAUGGAUACAGGUAAGGUCCGAUUACUCCUUUAUAUACCAGCUAGGGCUCGAAAGAAGGAUUCCAGUGCUGUUGACUCGGCAACUUACAAUAAAUACUCUGUGCUCUCACUGAUGAAACUACGAGUCCUGUGUUCGGAAACUCCAAAGUGAGAAUGAAAGGUGGAAUUGAGUCUACCCGCUCCUACCGCGCAACAAACUACUAAGCUUGGCCCAAGGAUCAAAGUCUUACAAUAGGAUCGGGCAGGAACCCAGUCCAAACGAAGAGAGCUAGGGUUUGUUUUUCAUUAAGAAUGAGAAUAUUCUUAAGAGAUCGUUCCUUACGUUUAGCAAUCAAUUAGAUCCCGACUGACAACGCUUGAAGCAUGGCUUGCCGUUUCAGGGGCUCGAUGCUUCUUUCUAUUCAUUCUUCGUAGCUUUCUUUUUCAUGUUAUUUGAUCAGGAAUGGGACUGAGAGAGCUAGCCCGGAUUCUGUCUUCAUUGACCUAGUAGCUGGACAAAGACCCAAGGACGGGGGCCAAUCAAUCUCAUCCGGAUCCCUAUUGGUGAGAAGACGGACUUUUCUCCCAUAAAGUGAUCAAGGAGCGUCAAAUAUUCUGAUACUAGGGUAAUAAGGAGCUCGCUCUUUCACUUGCAUAGUGAGGAUGCCCAUAAUCGGCUUUUGCUCUUUUCGAUUUCAAAGGAACCGCCAAGCUACGUAGUCCGGUCCGUCAAUGAAAGCCUUUAAUCCGCGGAAAGUAUAGGAUAUCUACAUACGCAGUGGAAAGUUAGAAACAUAAUAGGCAAGAUUGGAAUGCAAGAUAUUCCACUUAAGUAUCCUGACCUUCAGGUGAUCGAUCAUCGGAACGAUGACACUGAGCGAGAAAACCAAUCCUUAGGGAAACCUCGCUUUCUCUAACUAACUUAUUUCAUAACUUGGAAAGAGGUGCAGCAAUCAUUCGAAAGUUCGGAUGGAUGGAGCCAACGCCUUUCACUAAUAUACAGAAGUCACAUGGUUUCUCUACAAUGAGCAGGCAAUAACAUUUGAGAGCUAAGCCCCCACUUGUUAAGAUAUGCACGGGCCUGAAGCUGCUAAAGCGACUGCCAAUUCAAAGAAGAAAGAAGCUACACCGGCUUCUAUUAUAGAGGCCCGAACUCAGCUAGCCGUGCCCACUAUAUUAAUAAAGGUGGGGAGUUCUGCCUUUCUUUUGAUGUAGGCUUCCACACAUUGUAUAGUUCCACUCUCAUGCUUUCUUUUGAUGUAGGCUUCCACACGUUGUAUAGUUCCACUCUCAUGCUUUCUUCUCCUGAGAGUCUUCCUUGCCCUUCUUUCUUUGAGUGUAGCGUGUCGGUCUUUGCUAUUUCGGUCUCCCUCCUUUAGCCAAGAGACUCUGGCCUUCUGCUUAAAGUUCCACUCUUCUGUAUCUGGUUCAACUCAUCCAAUUUUAGAAUAGACUCUUAUGCUCUGCGAGCCUUUCAUUGAACUGGAAAAAGGAUAGGAUAGCUGGGAUUGGUCUAGUUCUUCUAUGUGCCUCUUUCUUUUUCUUUCUUUUAUCGACCCGUAACUUGGAAUCUUUCUUUUAUCGACCCGUAACUUGGAAAUGAAAGGAUUUGACGCUGCUUUGAAAAAUGGAAGCUUCUGGGCUACCUGGAACAUGGGGUUCGUUCCCUUUAAAGGUUGCCAGGCCUCUUGCACUGUUUUCUGAAACGAAAGAAGCCUCGUCCACAACAUGUUAAUAAUCAACAGGGUUUCGGGCUCGGCUCCUUUCAACAACAAGGCUGAGGUAAACAAUGAUAGGGGAGUUCAACCAUUAAGGAUAUUGUAAGCACUGAUUCACCCUCGGAGAACAAGAGCGGAACUGGCUAGAAUCCUUAUAGUUCGAUCCACAUUCCAUAGCUUCUGAUCUAGCUCCCGCACCUUUAGAAGUUGUAAAGCCACGCACUAGCUGACUUCCCCUAUUAGAUUGACCCCGCUGGCGAUCACAGAAGAUUCUUCCCUAUCAUUCCAUCGCUUCAUGCCUUCGACUGAGACCUAUCUGCUUAAUUCCCGAGUUGAACUUCACUUGGACACAGCCGACCAAAGGGGAGAGGGCAAGACUGCUUUUGCUUGAAAUGAAAGUCAAGUUUACUUUAUUGCGUACUUCUUUCCAUCCUGAGAAGGCUUUCAGCACCUUUGCUUUGGAAAGUUCCUAGAAACCAUUCUUAAUACGCUUAUUCUCUGACCGGCAUACCAUGCUACAUGAGUUCCAACCGGAUCUUUAUAACUAAGAGAAGAUUCGCUGCAAGGAGCUUAUUUACUGUUUCAUGCCCUACUGACUGAAUGGCUUUCCCUACCUCUUCCGGGCUUUAUUGCCAAAAGUGAUUAUAGCUUGAAUUGGAACCCACAACAAUCCGAAUCAAAUCCAGAUGCCAAUCCAAUGAGUUCGAGUUCCCGCAGCUGGAAGUAAAGCUAGCAGCGUAGUCGCCGACAUAGAAAGAGAAGACCUGAUCUUGGACUUGCAAGCUAUCUCGAGGGAAUCACUUGGAGCACAAGCUUUCGAGAAAGGUGAGAUACAAUCCAGAGAGUUCGAUCUCUGUAGUAAAGUCUAAGACAGUUUAUUCGGUAUCUAAGAAAACGAUUCUAGAAAGCGCUAGGCAUGCAUCUCAAGUCAUUCAAUGCUUCGCUUAAGGCAAUUUCCGUAAUAAUAGGAUGUAAGUUCCAGGUGAACCAUCUUAGACUAGCUAAUAAAGGAGAAUUUGUUCUAACACCUUUUUGAUUACGUAAAAGAAUGGAGCAAACGAACUCCUGACUCGACGCCUUGAGGUUUGGAUUGCUGCAGGUCUAAUAGUCGACGAAAGGAAAAAAGGAAAAGAGUUAUACGCGAAUUGCUACACCUUUAAGCCAAUUGAAUUAGUAAUCGAUGCUAGAAAGGCGAGAAUCCCUAGCCGGUGUUAUAGAAUUCCAUAGAGAAGAGAGACUAAGCCUGCUGUUAAUGAAUUGGACUGGACUCCUAAGAUAAUAUCCGGAACUGUUAAUGAAUUGGAUUCCUAAGAUAAUAUCCGGAACUCCAGGUUGAGUCAACAAUAAUUGUAAGUAGAGACUCUAGAUUCUAUAGACGGGCAUUCCUUUCGAUCUUGUAUCUAGAAGUUGAGGCUUGCAGCGCUCGCAAACACUAUCCCUUAGUAGAAAGCAUUGAAUGAAAGGUGGGAUGCCUUAGCUUUCAUGGAGAGGGUCGGGUCGUAGAAUCCCGGGGUUGAACUCCUACCUUAGAGUUACUGCACCGGGGGGCCUUAAAACCACCUUUUGGGGUAUUGGCGCAAUGACUGAAUUCUGCUAUUCUUUGUUACGAUAGCAGGGUUUGGUAUCCACUAGUUUCUAAGGGCCGCAUUUAGGAGUGAUUGAUCUGUUCAUCAAACUCUCAAUUGCAAAAAAGCAACAAAGUAGGAAGUCUGGUUCACAAGGUUAUACCACAGAAGGGCCCACUCAUAAGUUGCCUUUCCCCCAUUUCCAAAAGUGGUACAAGAGACAGGAUCAAAGGCUUUUCGAAAUUGGGAUUUGGUCUGUGUCAGUAGGUCUGAUGGAUGCGCCGUUUCGCGUCUAGUAGUGAUUUUGGUUGCUGAAGCCCCAGCCGAUCCUGUCGUGCCUUAAAGCUGGAAAGAAGAUGGAAAUUGAUGGUCCCCCCGGGUUAUGGAUCUGGCAAAAUAGGAAGUGCAAAAUCGCGAAACAAUGCUACAACUACAUCCUUCAUUCCUAUUGAAAGAGAAACUCAUCCAUGGAAACAGGUGAUUCAUGUUCAAGAGAGCUGCUUUGUAGGGAAAUAGACUAAUGUGACAUUGAAUCCUGUUACUUCUAUUUUCCUUCAUUGAGACCGAAACGGAGAAAUUCCAUAAAAAAGGAUGCAUUAGAAGGAGUGGUUUCUCUAUCCCCGCUAAUGCUUUCUAGUUCCCCCGGUUACCUCUACCAAAAUGGAUUCUAGCAAAGCGGUUAUUUACCCCAUUUGGAUGGAUUUGGAUGGAGAAAUACUCACUAUUGAACUGGGGCGAGCCCCUGCUACUUGUAAUCGAGGUUGAAUCUCUAUUCCCCCAAUAUGGAAAAAUGAAUAUUCUCGAAAUAUAAGAGUUUUCCUAAACUAAUUGCGUUUCUAUCUAUAUGAACGGAGGAUGAUGAAUCUAUUUCGUGGGUCCUGGCAACACCCUUAUGCUAUAUAUAGAUUCGUGGGUCCUGGCAACACCCUUAUGCUAUAUAUAGACCCUUUGUCCUAAUUUGAUCUUUAAGUCGAUUCGGAAUGAACAUAUAUUGUGGAUCGAAUGUUGCUAUCUUUACGAAAAUGUGUUAAGGUCCCUUAAAAGAAAAGGAAUAGCUGCUCAUUCAAUGAACGACGCCUAAAAUGAAUGUAUAUAUUUGAUUCCUUAGCUUGGCUCUCAUUUCAGGAACGGAGGCUGAACGGGCUGAGGCUUCCGGUGUCCAUAAGGCUAACGUAGAAUCCAAUAAUCUAAUCAUAUAUUAAUCGAUUUCAUAUAUAUCAUAUUACUUGCUAUAACUAGGAGUAUAUUCGAAGGUAAGUAACAAGGGCCAAGUAGUUAAGGCUAAAGCCAAUUUCAGAGAGGCGAGAACCCUUAAAGGUCUGUUUCAAUACUCAAGAUAGCUGGUUGUGAUUCCUUAGAAUAAGGGUAGCUAAUCACAAACAAGGUAAGAAAAAAGUGAGAAAGGCGAGCAAUAGGACGGAAACAAAAGAAAGAGGCGGCGAGCUACUCCAGAACGAGCGACCUGUAAGCUAAUAGACCGUUAGGAGGAAAACCGACCUGGUGAUAAAGAAUGGGAGCUAAGUAUUUAUUACGAACGGAUGAAAAAGGAGGUGCUGAAAGCCUGUGAAAAUCCAGAACCAAAAAAGAGUGGAGUCCCGUGCCGGAUAUUCGAUGGCUCUCUAUCGAACCUUCCUUUGUCACGAGUCAUUGACUGCUGUAACGUGCCUUGGCCAUCGAGCUACUCAAGGUAAGACUUCCAAAAAGAUGAUAAUAAGCAACAUGCUAAAUAGCAUUGUUUCUAUCGUUGGCAUGUAGUUUUGGAUAUAUAAGAUAAUGGGAAGAAAAGUGACCUACUUGAAGAUAAUGGGAAGAAAAGUGACCUACUUAUAGCCUUAUCCAUAUUACUUAGACUUUGAUGGCUGACGGUAAGCAGAGUUUUGAUUGACCAUACUAUCAUAAAGGCAAUUAGGUAAGCCUACGCCCACUCCAUCCCUAUUGUUGUGUUUUAUUCCAAUGGGAUUUGGGGCACGGAUUCAACAAGUACACCACAAAAGCAACGGCUUCGGCCCAAAAGUAGCAUGUUUAUACCUUUCAACAUACUAUGUGCCACAUGUUUAUACCUUUCAACAUACUAUGUGCCAUUUAAAGGAUUGUGCGUUUCUUUCUUUCGGCAAAACACCAGUUGAGGUUCAUAUGGUGCGGUCAAAGGACGACGAAUACCAUGCUUUUGACAAAUAGCUUCGAAGGCUUUUGUUGAUGUAAAUGCGCCUCCACCUAUUCCCUACAAAGCCGGUUCCAAUCAAACUGCAUACAGAACAAUGAUGGAAGAAAGAGAUAGGACUCGAAAGAGAGGAGAGGUAAGUAUACAGGAAGAGAUGUCCUUUUACCUCUAUUGGAUUUGCGCCUCGUUUGCUAUCAAUCUGUUCAGAUACAAAACCAAGUGGAAGCCCCAUUGCGAAAACUAUUGACGAGGCAGACGGAUAAAUGGCUCUUGCCCUAUUUUAGCUAGGACUUGCCUCAAAAUGUCUUGGCCAAAUAGUGGUCGGCUAGUGCGGGCCCAGGCAUACUUCCUGAGAUUGCUGCACGAACUCUUCACGAUCCUGCUGAAGAUGCUUACUCUUAUUCCAUAAUUACCAAGAAUUGAUAUAUAAGGAAAAGAGCUCGAUGACCUUAAUCACUCUGUUAGCGCAGAUCAAUCCUAUGAUGAAAUAAUGAGAAAUGUCUAUUCAAGGGCAAAAGCUUUUUCUCUUUAGACUACCGAUUCUAUUGAAUGAAACGGAGUCUGGGCCCGAUCAUGCUUAAACGAAUUCUUAAAGAGAAAGAGGAGGCACCUGAACAAGACUGGAAUCUUGAACAUUGAUGAUUCUGAACCGCCCUAAUAAGAAGUUGUAAACUCACCAAACUAAAGCUAAGCUAACGCCGAUGAAGGAUAGGCUUUCGCUCCCUAUGAUAGAAGCGGGUAACUCACCCAAUAAGAUAGGAGCAGGUAACUCAUAUACGUUACUUGCCUGCCGAAAACCGGAAUUGUAAUAGAAUAGGAGUCGGAGUUAUAGUUUCCAGAGGUAUGUAUAGGAGCCGAGCUUUUUGAGUAUACGCUUGGAUGGUGUUCAUGGCGGUAGGGCUGCUCUUCCACACCUCUUAUGGGAAAUUCCCUAUCUUGCAUCUGUAACCGCUGUUCUAAUGCUUUUAAGCCUAUAAUCUUUACCUUCUUUCGACACUCAACCAAGAAUCAUAUACUGUUCUUUCAAGCGCGGAGUAAAUACGGAAUUUCUUAUAGUGCGCAGAGGAAACUCAAAGAUCCAAUUAUGAACUGAUUGGUGCUCUAUAACCAAGGAAUGCUCCUACACCUAGAAACUACACUUCGAUUCAGCUUCCAUAUAGGAGAAAAGUCAAGAGAAGAGUCAAAGUAAAGAUCAAAGUAAAGAGAUGCUUCAUCACAACACCGAGAUCCUUGCUAAUUACCUGUUUGUUUUCUAGAAAAUGAAAGAAACUGCUUCCCUUUAUUUGGAAUCUGACCGGCUUGGCACUGCUUCCUCAGCUUCUUCUAUCUCUUAAGAUCUUAUAGAUUCCACCCGAACUCCACCCUCUUAUUAACCAGAUCCCGCUUAUGAUCGAGUAGACUUAUUAACUCGAACUGUAGUUGCUUGUUGGACAAUUAGUUUACCUUGAUUAUGGCGCAUAGGUGUUAUCGACCCCAACUCUACUACCCUUAACUUCACAUAAAGGUUGCCUUAUUGCCCUGAUUUUAUAGCCCAACUCAAUAAAUAAGAGCAGUAAACUCAUCUUUCGAGUAGCGGGGAACUCCUAUUAUGGCUAAUUUCCAUACCCUAUGAAACCGAGCUCCUUUACGCCUUUGCAUUCUAUUCUGCUCUUCCAUUCUCUAUUUAUCCUGCUUACCGCUGACUUUGACACAGCUACCGAUGAUUCUCUCGGAGACUACUUGAGAACAGGAACAGGCAAUUAAGAACUUGAGAGCGCAGAGUAUAUACGGAAUUGAUUAUAGUGCGCAGAGGAAACUCCAUUCUUUCAUUCUAUUCCCAAAACUCCAUUCUGAGUAUUAGUAUGCACCACAGGCGAGGGAAUCCUUAUUUAUAGUGUCAUUCUGUAUUGACUUAUUCUUAUACUUAAUACCAAUACAGUGCUAGAUCGUACCCAUAAAUCAGGACUUGUACAUAACUCGUACUAAUGGAAUUUUCCCUGCAAAGUGGUUAGUGGACUUUACUGAACACUCCUGUUACACUUGUAUAGUAUACGCUUGGUCUGUAGUAUACGCUUGGCCAGGUGCGCCUCAGACUGCAAAUGCUUCUUCGUAUGCUCAGAGGAUAGAUGGGCUGGCUCACUAUGGAAAGUGCCAACUCUCUUUACUGCUCUUCACUAAGCUUUUUGGAAAGUCAAAACCAGGAUAGGAAAAGCUUGCUCUUUUUGGAAAGUCAAAACAAGGAUGGGAUUGCUACAGCUUUCGCACUGUAUUAAAUACACUCUUUUUCCAUCUAUUUGUAGAAGGUCUCAAAGAAAGGAGAUGAAAAGACACCUCUCUAUUCUAUAGGUUUUGCACUCUAUGAUAUUCUGAAGCGAAAGAAGGAAGAAGGAAGAAAUCACCAAAUGAACUAGCGCCCCAACUGACUCAAGAACUCAUUCGUCCUUGAGAAAACCCCUUUCUUUGCUGAAGUUAUGGUUCCUUCUUCGAAGUAUUCCUGACUAAACAAGCAAAGGAAUAGCGUAAAUCAGAAGAAAAGUAUUUGAAACGGAACAAGUAACGGAACAAGCAACGGCGCUUACCAUGAGUUUGAUUAAGGAUCGAGGUGCGUUAGUGAGUCUGGAAGGAAAGAAAUCCAGAAAUGCUGUGCUUACUUACUAGCUUAUAUCAGAUGUAAACAAACGCUCUCUGCUUUUUGCACUCAAUGAAACAAGCAACGGCCUCAGGGAACUCGUAUACAAUGAAGGUACACUGCGCUUCAACGCCUGUACUCUUAUACUUAGCUUCUUUUCUUUCCCGCAACCAUUGAAAAGAGGCAAGGUGCUGAAAGCCUACUCGAAGUUUGCUUACUUUAUUUUCCCUUGCUUGUUCUGUCUCUGUCCGGCAAGUGCAACGCCUCUGUCCUUAUGAGCUACCGUUCGUACGCUGUCCUUGGCCAACAUAUGAUAGGUAGCUGUUGAGUGAUGUAGAUUCUAUAUUAUAGGAGGUGCACUAAAUGGAAUUCCUCAGGGGGCACUAUCGUCUUGCUUGUUGAGUAAGGAGUCAAGAGUUCCGGAGAUCUAUACAUAUAAUGUAAUAGUUCUGUACUAAGCGCUAAACAAAUAUGGUUGCAGUGAUAUUACUUGAUUCUAUAUAGGUAUAGCUUUGAUUCUAUAUAGGUAUAGCUCUCUUCAAUUCCAUUCUGUUCAGUCACUCUACCCAAUAAUUCCAAUUAUCGACAACACAUAUAAUCUAAUUGAAUAGAAUAUUACCCGCUAGAAUAUACUUGAAGAAUAUUACCCCGCUCCUUAGACUCUACAUUAUCUACUCAUUUCUACUCAACUUAAGAAUAUAAGUGACAUCUUUCUAAAUAGAUAUAAGUAAACUCUAUCAAAUUCAUAUAAUAAGUGGUGUAGUGCACAUAUUUGGAGAAAUAGAUAUUUUAGGCGCAGGAGAAAGUCAUGCUGUCUUUAGGAUAGGAAGGAAGGUGGACUUUUUGACCAAAACGAACUUGUGUAUUCAAUUUGGCUGCUGAAGACAAGCGAGAACCACUCUUUCUUUUCGAUGAGUCCUAGCCCUCCCACGGAGAAAGCAACCCCCUUGUACUUACUUCGCGACUUUGGCAAUCCAUCCGCUUUAACUACAUAGAAUAAGGAAAUAGUAGAGUUGGCGGCAGGAUGAGUUCCAAUAAGGAAGUUGUUUCAGAGGAAGCGCGAGCUUGGACCUUCGCCUUCUAACUUUCUCUCACAUGGGUAAAGAAAGCAAGUCGAUCCACACAGCAUCAUGCUUUUUGAAGAAAGAGUUAUAGGCAGUCCUAUUUCAAAGUCAUUGAAGGUAAAAAGAUCAUCAAUUCCUCUAAUUCAAUAGACUAAGAGGUCCGCCAUAGAUCCUUACGCCUCAAGUGAUCGUCAAGAAAAUGAUCUACAAGAAGGUCCCUUACUAAUAACCUCUGCAUCAUCACUAAUAACCUCUGCAUCAUCACUAAAUACCUCUGCAUCAUAGAAUUCGAAGAAAGAGAGAGUGAGACCAGACAUAAGUACAGAAGAGCAGUAAAUAGCAUACAGGGGCAAUAUCGGGAAAUGGCAUACUGGGUUCCCUUUCGCUAUCGCUCCUCGCAACAUAAGGAUCAAUUGUGCAGGAACUAAGGAAUGUGCCUAAAGCUCAUCUCACGGAUCAAGAUUCAAAAGCUUAAUGAAGUUGCACUCGGAUGGAUCGUUUUUAGCAUAUACCCUAAUGAACUUUACAGAGUCGUUCUAUUUUCUCUUUUCCCACCAUUGGCUUCUUUAAAAGAGCUUUGCCUUACCUAUGAUGCCAAAAGCAAAGACAAAUAUGGAAUUGACAAUCAAAAACAGAACAAUCUUACUAUUCUAUAAUUGUGGUAUAUUUCUUUCUUUAUACUAUGGUAUAGUUUCUUUCUUUAUACUAUUCUCUAAUUAGUACAUUUCUGUCUUUCUUUAAGAAUGAAUUGUACCCCAAUCUUACCUAUAAGCGGAGAAUAGGGUUUUUGCAAAGAGCUUUCUUUGUUGUGGAGAAUUGGAAUAGUCGGAAGUACCUAUUAGAAAGUCAUACUAUUUGAAUCAUUCGAGCGAGUGAGUGAAAAAACGGAUUCUUUAAAUGCAGCCUCCCAUUGCUAUCAUUCUGUUUCCGGAAGAAUACAGGCAUUACGAUAACUCUGAAAUAUUUGGCUUUGUAUUUGACCCUGCCCCCUUCUUUGUCUUUUCUCUUUCUAUAGAUCCCUAUGGAUGCUUGUAACUUGAUUCUUGGCAACGAAGGCAGCUUUGGUGCGUCCCACGAUUGAUUACUGGCGAUUGAUUACUGGGUCACCUAACUCCAAGUCAAUGAACUCUAGCUAACGAAAGGACCUACUCUUCUAAAGCGAAAAAGGGCACUCGCGGUAAUUCGCCGCUGCGUGUGUCGUGAGAUGUAUUGGGCGGACCUUGAAUUGGGUAGAAAGUCCAUUUUUCCCUUCCCGUUACGUCAAUUUACAUCGUCAUUGGCACAUUGGGUUUAACUGAUAGCUGAUAGAGCGCGUAGCCCUUCGCUGCGGAUAGUGUUUCAGUUGGCUUCAUCGACGUUGCUGCUUGCCCGAAGCUGGACUUACUCAGGUAAGGAAGGAAGGAAUAAGGGCGGGUUACGAGCGGACUAGCAUUGCAGGCCUUUAAGCAGGAGAGGGAAGGGAGUAUAGCGAUCAAAACGAGAGUAAUCCGGGCAUACCUACCGCAUCUCAUUAGUGCUUGCAAAUAUCAAUCAAAGGGCUCGUCAACAUUCCUAGGAUUGAUUGGCUGAGCUAAUAAGUAAACGGAAAGUAGAUCUGUUGUGCGAAGAGUGCAGCGAGGUAUGCACGUCUGGCAAUGUUCGGCAUUGUCCUAGGCGCGGUCACACGGCUUCAGCCCGGGGAUAAUAAUGGAAAAUGAACGAAACUUUGGACGAAAGUCAGAAAUGUACGCUACUAGACGUUAUUUCGUGCUUCUAUCGAGGCGCGGCCGUUAGGAGACCCUAUUCCUUAGUUGGUCAAUAGAACAUAGAGUGUUACUUACUCCAACAAAAAAAGAGCUGGGCUCAACAGCCUUAACAAAUUCUUCUUCUUGGGUUUCCCUAGCCUGUCAAGCAAUACUAAGACCAGAGCCAGAUAUCACGACGAAAAGUGCAAUCUCUGAUCCGACCCCUCGUCGAAAGAGUAGGUGUCAGAGGCACAAUGAACAGCAUAAGUAAAAGCCCCUAGUCGAAAGAGUAGGUGUCUCAGAGGCAUUAUGAGAACAGGCUAUGUGUGCACAAAGGAAGAAAUCCGUGUUUUUUGGUUAUUGCGUGGAAAGGGGCCAAGCUACUGCUACAAACGGCCAAGCAACGACUAGACAAGUUGGCGGAUCACUUAAUAUAGGAGAACGGAUGAAACAAGCACUCGAACACAACUUUCUGAAUCAACUUCACUUGCUAGCUCAGCUCCUGCCGCUACACAUUAGUGGUUACUUGACUGACCUGGCACCGAGGAAACUACUUUGUUUGAUUUUAAGAAACCCAGGAGUGGAAAUUGAGACUACUUUAUGGAGCAUGCCCGUAAUGUUGAAAUUCUGAAUUGUUUACAGUUGCCAUAGGUAUUGUAGCCUGAGUUGGGUCUAUCAUGGAUGUGGGUCUAUCGAAUCAAUCUAUUAGUGGUCGGGGUGCCUAUUGCCUAUAAAGGGGUGCCUAUUGCCUAUCAUGUGUUUAGUAAAGAAUGCAGGAUAAAGGUAAUAAUCUUACUUUUAGGCGCUAAGUCAAUCAGUGUCAGAGCGGAGCAGAGAGAGUAUAUAGAAUCAGAGACAAACCCUUCCUUAGAUAUAGUAGUUCCGGUGUUAUUCUUUUGUUUUCUACCUUCCCCCGCUGUUUGAUUCUAACUUGAGAGCUCAGCAAGUAGUUCAGUAUAACUCGCUGCCGCUUUGAGGCGAGGUCUAGGUCGACUUCAGAUUAGUCUCUUUCCGUUCUAGUGUAAUCUACAGUGAAAGUGGAAUCCGUUAGUCGACUAUCAGAGCUUAUUAGGUCUAAGCAUACUACUUACUUACCAGAGGAUUUCUUAUUGUUGCUCUCUCUACUCAGGAUGCUUUAUCUUUCCUUUAUUUGAAGAAGCUGGUUCCGGUUCCUUACCGAGAAAGUGAUAAUAUAAGUAGUGAGAAGAAAGUCAAGUACGAUAGAUAGAUGGAUAGUAGUGAUAAGAUAGAUAGAUAGUAGUGAUAAGGUGGAUAGAUAUUAGUGAUAAGGUGAAGCUCCAAGAACGUCUUAGUGGAUAGAUAGAUAGAUAGUUAGCAGCUUAAGGCAGCUGAAGGAUCAACUUCUAUCUCUAUCUAUUGUUUUGGUUGAGCCAUAAGUCAGGUAAGAAGUAAUGAAUUCUAUCUCUAUCUAUUGUGGAAGUAAUGAAUUCUAUCCAUAUCUCUUGUUUUGGUUGAGCCAUAAGUCAGAAGUAAUGAAUUCUAUUGCCCCAGUUAAUGAAAGUGGAAAGAGAUUCGAUUCAUAGGAAAGCUGGGAUUUGGAGUAGUAGCUCUGUUCGAUAGUGGUUCCCGCUCUUCUAAGCUCGCCGUUUGGACUCACGUUCCAGUUGUGACAUCAACAAGUGGUUUGGCAAGGGCCGCCCAACACAGACAAAGGACGCAGGGCCGCUUCCUAUAACAAUUCCUUCAAGUUAUAAACAAGUCCUUUGUUCGGCAACUAGGAAUACAGGAUGCCGUUCUGGGUGCUAUAAGACAUCUAGUAGUGGAUAUAAGAAUGGAAAUGGUAGAUAUAAUAAUGGAACUCCCACAGGUCAGUUAGCCUUAAAUAAAUGAGAGUAAAAGCCCUAAAAAGAGGAAAGAUAGGUUUCAAGCAUAGAUAAGGAAUAAGUGCCCGAGUAGUGAGAGUUGUAGUCGAGCUUUGAGAAGAGGCAAUAAGGCUUGGAAAUACCAGUUCCAAUCUUAUUGUUAGUGAUCCCUUUCCUUUCCUUUAUUGUUAUCAGUAGAGUAGUUCGGUUCUCCCGUAUGUGCUGGAUCAUACCUAAGAAUGCAAUUCGAUAUUGUAAGGUCAAGCAUGAAAAGCAUUAAGCGCCAGUUUGAAGGUAAGGAAGCGCCAGGACGAGAGAAGAUAUAGUCAGACUUAUAACUUAGAGGGCUAAGGCAACCUAUAAUACGGUAAAGUCCGCCUGAGAUCAAGUAAUGACAGACUCCCUUUUGCUUUGAGCUAAGAAAAAGUCAUGUUAGCACUCACCGUUAGCACUCAUCUAAGAAGCAAAGAAGCAGGUCCGGGAAUGGAAGCAAGGAGCCUAAAUCCUUAUAGAGGCAAUACAAACUUAGAGCAGGGAGUUUUAGGUUGAGUCAACAGAUGCAGAUUUUCUCUAAGAGUUCAAGCGGAGAUAGUCAGAUGUGAGGUCAGUAGCGCGAGGCUAAGAGAUAUGGGAAAGAGAGAUCCGGUGCUCAAGAAUGUAGGCUGGGUGACUACUCCAGUUAAUUAUGAUAGGCACUGGGUUCGUUCUCAUAGUAGUGCUUGGUGGUUUAAAGCAAGGUGCUGAAAGUCACUUAUUAGUAACAAACAGGAUGGAUGUACUAACAAACAGGAGUAGAAAUCAAUUCAUCAAUGCCCUUAAAAGAAGAAUGCAGGGUGAAAGGUAUAGGUUUGAUGAACUACUACAGGGAAUAGGGCAGGGAAUGCCUGUUCGGAGCUACUAGUAUAAGUUUGAUAUCAUAAUCAUGAAUAUAAGCUAAUAGAAUAGGGAAUCGUAAACACAGAAAGAAUCAAGUUCGUAAGUAGAUAAAGAAUAUAAGUAAGGGUAAUAAGCCUGUUUGUGGCACUAGUCAUGUUUGCAGUUAUUUUGUUCUUCAUCGCAACUAUGAUAUUGUAGUUCCACCAAGUAAAUCACUCCUAUAGUUGUAAGUUUGCAAGUAUAGAGGGGCAGGCUAACAGGUGAACAUAUGAUUUCAGAGGAGAAUUUGAUACAGGAGUUUUUUGUUUGAAUCCGGAAUGCAGCUAAACGAGUUUCAGCUUUCACUAAUACUUAAUCAGAAUGUCACUGGGGCAUAGUAAAGUAAGGAACAGGUACAGAAGCAGGUGGGCAAGAGAUAAGGCUCUUACUACAAAGCUCGAUUCUUAAAUAGCUUUCUUUGAUUCUAACCUAGUGGGCGGGUCAGUUGAGUUCCGACCAAUGUCUUUUAUUCCAACUUACUACCCUAAGUUAUAACCUAUGUCUUUUAUUCCAACUUGCCUACUCUACUCGGCACUCGAAGACUCAUUGUUUUAGAACUCUUGGGUUAAAGCCUAUAGCUGAUAAGUCAUAAUACGGAUAUGAUCCAACACACCCACUAGUCAUAAUACGGGUAUGAUCUAGCACACCGGGUAAUUCCACUCAUAAGUCACAGAACUCUAUCUAGUAGUCACAGAAGAGCAUGGGAACUCGAACCACGAACCGGUAAAUACAUAAUGGAAUUAAUGUAACAUAAGUAUAAGCCUAGAGGCAGGGCAGGCUAACAGGUGAAAUACGUAAUACAAGCAAGGGAUAACAGCCCUUUAGUUAGUAGUGGGGGAAGAGGUAAGCUAAGGGAGUAGACUUGGUCUGAUAGUUCAUUAUGAUUAGUCUUGAUUUCCAUCUUUCUUUUGCUAGCUUAGUUCUAUAGUUCAUAGUGGAUUUCCCAGUUACCCUGUUGGCAUUGGUUCCAUCCUUUGUAUUAGUAGUUCGAGUCUGUUUAUCAACAGUUUUGAGUUUCAAAGCGAGUAAAGCAAUAGAAAGGAAAGGAAGACUAAUGGAUACUAUUGAGUGAAAUGACCCUACUAUUGAGUUUCGCCCUGUGACUUAUGUGCUUGAUUAUUACUUUCGAGCUCCGUCCUUCACUGGUUCCCACGCAACCCUAUAAAGGUAUCCUUACCUGGAAGCUUUUGAACUUAUCAGUAUUACUGGACCUUCAAUCAGAAUUGAACAAGCGCUAACAAGGCUGAAGUUGAAUACCUAGAUGCGCUAGAUCUUAACCCUAAUGUCAUAUUCUUAUUUUCCGGGUUCGGUUCUUCUACUUAUGAGUUUGGUUCUAUUUCCUGAUUAAUAGACUUCUACCCUAGAGAAGGACUGACUUUCAUUACGCUGACUUGCCAUUACUAAUCGUUUUUACUUAAUGUAACUCUGCUGGACCUUUGCUUGUACUAGGACGGAAUGGAACUGGGUAGACCAAGUCUGGAUAAGCUCACACAGAGACUUAGCCCAGGGGGACUCAAUCAGUAUUUCACUAUAGAGAUGUCAUUCCGUUAUAUAAGUCCUGAGGGAUGCUGUUAGGUAAAAUUCAUAAGAAAGGUAUUUAUUGGAGUGAGAGAUGUAGUUAGGUAAAAUUCAUAAGAAAGGUAUGCUCUGUGUUAGGUUGAAAAACAUCUAUCUUGCUUGGUAGCAAACUCCACUUUGGCUUUAAGAACUCUGAAUUCUCUUCCAUUAACUUGAACUCUGAAUUCUCUUCUAUUAACUUAACUACUAAUUAGGGAGGAGAGCCAGUGUUCCGCUAUCAAUCACGUUAGCUCAUAAGUAGGGAGAGCCCAGCCCGUGUUCAGCGCUAUCAAUCACGUUAGCUCAUAAGUAGGGAGAGGAAGUAAUAUAAGUAAGGGCAAGCUAACCUUAGUUCUUUCUAUAAACCCUUUCUUUGUCUUGUGCGAAACACCUUCGGCUGGGGAAUUGAAUGUAAGUGCAAAAGGUAUCGAAUCUCACGUGCAUCAUAUCAUAUUAUAUUAUAUAGAAGAAAGUCAACCAAACCAAACCCAGCAGACUUGAUUGCAUCUACUAUACCGGAUUAUAUUAUAUAGAAGAAAGUCAACCAAACCCAGCAGACUUGAUUGCAUCUACGAAAUCUGCUCCGUAAACUCGAUCACUAGCUACACUGUAUUGCUUCAAGACUUACAACUAUCCCAGCUUUGCUUGCUCACUAGCGCUGCGUAAAGAAUUCUUACAGUAGCUUGUGGACAGCUUACAUCUUCUUACUACUUACAGUUGACUCACACAUAACUCUCGGGGAACAACGCUUACUCUCGCUAUACUCUUACUCUCGCUAUACUCUAAGAUAAGAGAUUAACCUAACAGCCCUUCUAAACUGACUUAUGGAAAAUAGAGUGCACACAUUAUAGAGAGAAAAGUCAAAAAACUGCCUACAAUCAUAUUACAGAGAGCGUGACACAUAUAGACAUUUUUCACCUAAGAGAGGAGAGCGCGACACAUAAAUCAAUAAGUCACCUAAUAUCACUGCAACAAGAACCGUAGCAGUAGAGUCACCUUCUACUUCUGGUCUUACUCUUUCAAAAGUUGGAUAAUCUACUUUAAGGGGAAUAGUAUAGAUGUGUCACUUUCCAGUCUUACGGGAAUAGAAAAGUCAUAAGUAUGCUGUCUUUGUUUUGUUACUCAUUUAUAUCAUACUUGCUUGUUUGCGCUAACGGAGCUGCCGCGUAGUGGGCAAGCACCAACCGAGCCUGAUUAUGGGUAACUCUACUACAGAAGAGAAAGUGGGUAAACUACCAAAUAUGAGAUAAGCACCCGAUUGGUUUAGUCUGAGUCUCCCUAAGAGCAUGGAGGCACCGUGAUCCCAAGAUCUAUUAUCUUAUUAAUAAAACAAGCCUUUCCCGCUCGCUCUGAGAAACCCACUCGCUCUGAGAAAACCCCGAACCCGCUCUGCACUUAGCAAAACCUGUACCUUCACCAUCUACUACAGCAAUAGGCACUCUUCACCAUCCACUACAGCAAUAGGCACUGAAGUUGAUUAUGGACUUCCCGUGUAGUGGGCAAUAGCACUCGGGACCUAAAGAAACUAGUAGCCGUCAUUCUCAUACUGGUUAUCAAUCAUUAGUGACAAUAGUCCCUUCCUUAAGAUAUAUCAUUCAAUCCUCCUUAUGAAGAUACAUCAUCAUUUAUGCCCGGACAAAACCUAGUCAUGUAUGUGCUCCUUCUUUCUCUCUCGCCAACCAACCUCACCUUAGUGCUCUUCUUUACUGGAAUUCAGAAAUCCAAUGAAAAGGAAACUACUAUUAAUAAGAAAGAAACGGGAAACAGCCAAGAGAAAUGGACCUCAAUCGUAGGCAAGGGCUACCUCUACCUUUACCUUUCCUUCGCGCAUCUAGGAAUCAGUCCCUUACUUUUCCUCAAAGCCUAUUCUCGAGAAAAUAUGUAUUAGAAAUCCCAUAUGUAUUAUAAGAUAUUGGCCUUGUCUUUAUUCUAAUGUCGCGGCAGAUUCGUGACCAGGGGGUAAGUCCGCUUUGCUGCUGAUUCUAUUACCUGGGACUUCGAAUCGUGAGAAGGAUUUUCUGCUUAGCGUUGACUAGCGUUGACCGGGGCUUACUAAUGGUAAAUAAAGUCCAACUCCUGCUUGCUUUACUCGGAAGAAAUGCUUUGCCCUUACCUGACUCAAUCAUGCUACUUGAAUGAAAGACGGGAAAAUAUCUGUCUUACGAGAUGCCCCAAUCCAAUCCAAAGAGAAAGGCUAAGAGCAAGUGCCACGAUUCUCUAAGAAUGCCAUUUAUGUCAGUUUCUUCUGGGUUUGCUUGGUAUACAGGAGUUGUUACUUUCUCUUCUACUAUAGCUAAUAUGGAAAUCUUUCACGCAGUGGGAUAUGCCCGCUUUCUAUCUUACACUAUACGAAAUGCCUAGCUGACUUGCCCAAGCCUACCCACUCCCUAUGAUUCUAUCAAUCUCGGGAGUUCCUGCCGAAAAGUAAGCCUUUUCCUCGCACCCGAACGUAACUUGAAAGAACGUCUUGAUGGCGAACACUGGACUUGUGCCUUAACCCUACUUUCUCACUUUCACUGGUUCUUCUCUUUCUUCCCAAGCUCCAUUACGUGGGCUAUCUGAACUUCCAACACAGAGAUCCCUGCCGGGGGGCUAUCUGAACUUCCAACACAGAGAUCCCUGCCUUAACUCCCUUCCCAUUUAGGAAUAGAAACUCUAGCUAGCACAACGUCUUUGAACUCCACUCUCAAGUCAUCAUGGAAUUGAAGAGAACCCCUCCCUUAUCGAAGCAUCGGCUAAGAUGUUAGGAUCAAAUGCCUAAGAAGGACUGUUUCUUAGUUUCAAUAGUGACUUUUGCCAUAAGGGGUGUGUGUGUGUUUCCCCUGCCUGAAAAUACUAACAUAAACGCUUGCUUUGACUUCGACUUCUGACUGAACUGCAUCAUAAGAAUCUAAAGUCAGGGCAAUUAGUUUAGUUACAGAGGAUGUAUUAUUAGAUUAAUUAGUUCCACAUAAAGGGAAAGCCUGGAAUAGUGCUUGUAGACAACAUUGGUAGACAACAUGGAGGGAUUUGAUUCUCUUAUUAACUUACCGCAACAUUCGAACUAUCAUUUCACUUUUGUUCUACUUUACUGGAUGAUUCAUUCUUAUCGCCAACCAACACCGAGAUAUUUAACUGCAGCAGAUAUCUAGCUUAUGCGGAUUCUCUUUCUUAUGCUUCCUCAGAACAUUGUUUCCCCUUUACUUCAAAACGAACUCAAGCUCCUUCCUUCUGCAGAUCCUUAUUCUUGACCUUAUUUCUUUCCCUAACCCUGCGAUUGUGAUCUACCAGUACCUUCCUCUAUACCUGCUUUCCAAGCUAUUCUCUUGUCAUCAACACUGUCAACUUGAAACCAGUACUCAUGGCAAAGGCAAAGGUCCAAAGUGAAAGGAGUCGUAUCCCUUUCAAAAAGCAACCGGCUAACGUAGGUAGUUAAGAGCAAGUGAUGUUUUCGAGCUCAAAGUCAUUGAGUUCCGUAUCUUUACCUUGCUUGUAAUGGAGAAUGUCCGUAUAUAUAAUACGAGGCUCAAGCAUAAGUAGGAUUAUCUGAUGGAGUUGUAUCAGAUGACAGAUCAGAAACAGUGUGAGCUCCCGAAAACGGAGAACGGACUCUUAACCUCUAGUAUAGAGCAAGCAGGUAAUAAUCACAGGGGAGUUUCUUUGGGUUGGGUGCUUGAGAAGGCACAAGUAAGGUCAGAGCAGCAAUUCCAGUUCGCGUAUAAAGAAUUGCCAGCCAGUUUUAGUUGACGACUUCAUAUUUGAAGUUCAUAAGCUGUUUCAACGGAAUGAUGCAGUAAUAGUUUUGUAUCUGAGAUCAGAAGAGAGAUAAGUAGGGGAAUGCAAUAAGUAAGGCAAAGAGUCAAGGUGGGAGUGAAGAAUGCAAGGGGCAGGUCAAAGAACGGGAGGUGAACUUGGUCUUCAAGUAAUAUAGCUCAGCCUGAAAGUGACAUCAAUCAGUCAACGAGCAUACCUUCUGUUCGGUCGUCGGUGCACACAAUCAUUCUGUGAGCUACUAUGUCUAUGUUCCCAAUCAUUCUGUGCUAUGGUACAGCAACUCCGGUCCAGCAACUACGUCUUCGCUCGUGCAUCGAAGGGACCGCACCCAUUGUAUCAUUCAUAGCCCAUAUGCACCCAUUGUAUCAUUCAUAGCAGUAGCAUCCCAUAUGUAUGUAUUGGCGAAACAGCCGUGCAACGAAGGGCCGGGCAACGAACAACGAUGGUCCACAGGCCGGUCAACAAUAAAGUGGUUUGUAGGUUCUGAAAGUGAUCAACAAUUCUUCAAGGAGGUGUUCGCACAUCAUUCGAAUUCUGUGAUCUGUCAUUCGCCGUGGAUCAUCUCAUCUCUCAUUCAUCGCAGCGCGGGGACAUCUAAUAUCAUAUGUAUUGGGAGAACCAACAUUGAUUCAACGGGCGAGACAAAGGACUUAGCAAAUAGAAUAUGAAAACACACGCAACUAUUAUAUAUCAUAUGCAAACAAGAAAACACAUGACAUGAAUUCCACUAUUACUAUUAUUAUUCCAAUAUUACUACUAUUAUUCCACUAUUACUAUUAUAAGAAUAUCAUAAGAGAAUAGAGAAGUACAACUACCAUGCAAAAACAAAACCUCAUAAGCCAGAAAGUCAGGAGCAACACAGAGACUUAGGUAAAAGAUAGUCAGAAUGCUAGUAUUGGAAGUAAGCCUAAAAGCAAGUAAGCUAAGAGGUUUGAAUGUGGCCGGUAGAGGCAUACUGAAACUAGGAUAUGGAAUGCCAGGAAUAAGUACUCGAACGAAAAGCUGCGGCUCUACUCUAUUCUUAUGCGGUUAUUGUAUUCCCCAGGUCGAUUCUAAGAAGCAAUAGGAACAGCCUUGUUUUGCUGGGGCUGUAGGUUGGUUCUUAUUGACAGCAGUAGCAGCCGUUAGGAACUAGUUGAGUUGCAUUUUCUAGUUAAGCUCAAUCCUUGUUAGCAACGGGUCUAGUCUCAUAUGCCCUAGCUCUGUUCUAAUAGUUAGUAGAUGGUUUCCCAGUCAGUAGGGUACUUGUUAAUAGCAAUAUGGGUCUUCUACUUAUUGGCAAGGAGUUUAGUAACACAAGCCAGGAGGAUAGUCAGAAUCAAAGCAAGGGAGUUAAGGCAUGAGGACGGGCGGAGUGUCCACAUACUAGAAUCCAACCUGGUAUCGAGUGACAUUAUGCUUAUUACUAGACCAAUUCUUUCCAGUAGUGAUUCCAGCCUUGUUAGACGUUCCUGAGGACCUGUAUUAGAAAAAGAAGUUCAAUCAGACUUGCGAGUUGAGUAAGCUGAGGUUAAGGCAGGGAGGGUACAUAGAGAGUGUCCACCUAAGAUAAGAGAUAGGAAAUUCAGGCUAAAAGGAAGAAGCGUUAACCUUUUUAACAGUAGUAUUAGUCUGCUUGCCACUAGUGGGAUUCUGAGUCGUAUUCGGGUUAUUCUAAUGGUGGUAUUUAGACCCCCCGUCUCGAGGUUGGUUCUAUGUUAUACUACACAUAUCCCGUAUUCUGAGUGACAUUAGAAUAAGCACUGGUUUAGCUCUUUACCUCUCUUGGUGGAUUCCUCUUCUCUUGUUUGAUUAUUUGACUUACUUAUUUAGCAACCUAUCUGCUUUGCCUUUCUUUCUUUGACUACCAACCUUGUUAUAGUGCUCGUGCUCUAAUCGAACUCUGUGGUCACCAACUCUGGCAGAACUCCUAUUCCUUGAAGCCUGCGAACCCGGGGCCCGGCUCUAAUACUAAUAGCAGUUGUAAUAGUGGUAAGAUCUAGGGAAGUAUCCGAUUGACCUCAUAAGUAAGAAGCCGACUCGUAAGUAAGAAAGGGAGUGGGACCAUUACUUAUAGAACCAAACUGGGAAUGGAGAGGAUGAAACAGGCACAUAUGAAUUUCACUAAUAAUAAACAGAAGCAACCUACCGCCCUGAGCACAGCACUUGGUAAUAACCACCAAUAACAUAUUAUGUGUUGUUUCAGAAGACUCCGCACAACAUUAGCAGUUGCUUGGCCCCUUCCUUAUCUAUUCGUUCCAGUUCGAUUCUUAUAAGCACUAGUGAAUUCCGUCUCUACGAGCAUAAAUCGCCCUACUUAUUUGUAGUUAUGGCACGAGUUCUCAAUCAAGUAAGUCUGUGGCCUAACUAAAGGUAGGUGAAAGUCUCGCUCCAUUUCAUAUCUGGCUCGGGAGGUAAAGCUACAAACUAUCAUUUCGCAAUCUUCUAUUGUAUCUCUUGAAGCUGGAAGUUAGAGAAGCAUCUGAAAGCCUGUGAUCAAGAGAAGAAGAUCAGUUUAGGGCUUUCCAUGGAAAACCACUCUUUAUUAGCCUAGCCCUAUGAGUGAACCGUAGCUCACGAACGCUGGACUAAAACGCCGGAAUUGGCUAUUUGUGACAGCUGUAAACUCUGUAAGCGCCAGCAUCCUCUUCUCAAGCAUCCUCCUAUACAUAGAUUAUUUCUUAAUAACAUGGGUAACGCCAACAACGGCUAAAGAUUCUCAAUUCGUUCUUCAAGUUAGUUCCUGAGGUUGUUUACCCUAUUCUUUUCUAUUAUGAGUCACUGCUGUAGAGUGAAGCUGUGUAGUUUAGAAGCCAAAUCCAAAGGGAAGCCUUUCUAGCGGCGAAGAGAACUCCAUAUCCAUAUAUAAGCCCUACGCUUCGGAUUGCCAACCUCGCUUGAGUGAGACUCGAAAGCCUUUGCAAGUAAUAAGUGAGAGCGAUACUUUAUCCAAGCUAAGCUUUCGGCUACAUAAAGAAGCAUGAAUGAAACGAGACAAGCUUUGCCCGACUGAUGGUGAUUGAGGUCCAUCGUCGGCAGGCGGUAUAGAUGGAAAUGGUCUUGCUUGGAAUCUUAGAGAUGAAAUGGUCUGGAAUCUUAGAGAUGGAAAUGGUCUUUGCUUGGAAUCUUAGAACGAAGAAGACAGCAAUGCUGCGCCGGGCCAAGUCGAGCAAGGAUUGAACUCUCUCUCGUGCUUUGCAUUGGAUUUGAGAAUGGGCAGAGCUUAGUGUUGUAAAACAGUUGACUUAAUGAAAAAACCUAGGGAUCAAUGAGGAUACGGGAAUGUCUUAAGCCAGUUGAGGUUUCAAUUUGUACUAUAGAAGACCGUUUUUGUUUCAAUUUGACUAUAGGAUUAUUUACGACGCAAUAGGAAGGAUGAGAGACAGACGGGUUGGUUUCUUUAGCUGAACUCGAUAGAGUGUAGUGGGCAAUAGCAAUAGGAACUCUUAUCUAAAUUCUGGAUUAUUGACUUCACUUCCCUCUGUAUUAUUGACUUAUACAUCUCAGCGCCAGGCAGGUUAAUUAAGUCUAGUAAAGGUUUACUUGUGUUAAGUGCUCGUGUGCGCCUACCUACAGUUUUGUAUGCAAUGAACCCUUCUCUCGGACAAGAACAAGCUUUUCUUUGAACUAACAAUUGAAUACUAAACAAUAGCCUCACAGCUCGUCCUUUAUCAUAGACAGACUGCAGGUACAAACUAUAGAUUGAGUCUCAAUUAGAUAAGACUUAUUCUCUCUUUCUUUCCUUCGAGAUACUCAUUCUCUAUUUAUAGUACACUAACCCCAUGAAACUUUCUAGCUCAAGGCUAGAAGCUACCAACACUUUCCAAUAAAAGAAAGAAAUAGGAAUUCGGUGGAUGGAUGACCCUAGACCUUCCAGAAGAGAAGAUCGAUAAACGAUUAAGCGCCUUAGAGACCAAUGAAAUGCGACCUAGAAGCUAAGCUUUAUUACUCAAAAGUGAUUUUCAGACCUCUUGCUUCUGCCCUCUAUCUAAGAGUACCUUUGAACCUGGAAUAAAAGGGGUGUGUGUCGCAAUGAAGGAUAUAGUUGGAAUAUAUGAAAUAAGAGUCAAGGGGCUUAUCGUAAAGGGGCUUAUCAAGAGGUAAGUAAUAGAAUAGGAGUACCAAACAGAGGAUAGUCAGAUAGUACACAGGCCCCCGAGAAAGUAGUCUAUUUUGGAAUCAUAACUACGAGACUCAAGCAUAGUGAUAGAAGAAGAAAAGUCGCAAUAAGCAUAGUAAUAGAAGAAGAAAAGUCGCAAUAAAAGAAUUCCAGAAAGGAAUGGAAGAUUUGAAGUAUUUCUUCGCUGUGAUAGUAUCAUUAGUCCUCAUUGGGGGUAGAUGUUCGGUUGAGUGUCUGAAAAUGACUACCUAUCUCACUUCCGUAAUUUGGGCUGAAGAACUAGUAGUAACCUGGGUGAAAAGGCUUGGUUUCUCUGUGAAAGGUGAAGUCUAAGUGUUGGGUCAUUACAAUUGGUAUCAAAGCGACUUUGUGGGCAACACUAUUGGGGUGAAAUGGAUAUAUAUGAGAUUACCGCGGGGUGAAAUGGAUAUAUAUGAGAUUACCUCUCCGUAGGGCACACUGAAUAGAGAUUCCUGGCCACAUGAUAAUCCUAAAGGUGAAUUAAGGGGCAUGAGUUGGCCUUGAUGACGACGUCCAAACAAUAGAGUGGAUUAGAUUGUUCUAUUUCGAGUAAUCACACCUCAGAGAAUAUUCCUUUGUAUUCCUUAGUUAUGGUCGUACUUCUACUCAGCCAUGUGGUCAUAGGGAAAUGACUCUAAGAAUUCUUAGGCUAGCAAGUGUAUUGGCUCUGAGAAAGGAGACCUUCUGACUUCUUUAUGUAAGAGUGUUGUGUUAGCAAUGUCAAACAUUUACAACCAUAGCAAGCAAUAAGAACUACAAAACCAUAGCAAGCAAUAAGAACUCAGAAUUUCCACACAUCUUUAUUACUUGUUUUCUUUAGAUGCCAUAUUAGGAGUAAGUAUUAUGCUAUCCUUUGAAGUUUCCCCACAAUUGAAAGAAGAAACUAGUAGGGGUUGACCAUAGCCAACAAUACCAGCCCUGUUAACUGCACAGAAGCCUAUCUGAAACAAAUAGAUCACCAACAGAAGCCUAUCUGAAACAAAUAGAUCACCACUACACUACUUACACCACUACACUACUUACACCACUACACUACUUUACACUACUUAUUAGUUAAUGACAUUUGAUGGAUUUCCUAUGUGUAUUAGUUAAUGACAUUUGAUGGAUUUCCUAUGUGUAUCCGAAUUCUCUGGGUGGUCCAUGCCGUCAGCUAAUCCUUGAAGAGCCGAUAGGGUACCUUGCAGAUGUGAAGAAGUCCAAUAGAGAUAGAUUGAUUGAUUAUUACUGGUGUGCUACAUGUGUUAGUUAUCAUUGUUGGGAGUAUAUUAGAUGCCCGGCGCGCUCACUACGGCGAGUAGAUUAGCUUGUUCCCGCUCAAGUACUUUACUCAAAUGGGGAUCUGCAGCGAAUGAAUUCAAUAGAACGAUUAAGAUUCGCCAUACAUACAUAAGAUUAUAUGAACGCCAUACAUACAUACAUACAUAAGAUUAUAUGAACGCUAUACAUACAUACAUAAGAUUAUAUGAACAUAGGUGAAAAAACAAGAAACAUAAGAUUAUAUGAACAUAGGUGAAAGAACAAGAAAAGGGGGUUUGGUUUCAGCCGUAAACGACGAUAAAUGGGGGCUAGUUCCAUUGCUUAUAGAAGUAGAAGAUAGGCAGCCUUUCCCUAUUAUACUAUAGAUAGAUAUAGAUAGAUAGUUAUAGAUAGAUAGUUGGAGGAAGCCUAUUAUACUAUAGAUAGAUAGUUGGAGGAAGCCAAGUUGAUACUAUUUUCUGGAUACCAUACUUUCUACUUUUUUAGCAUUACGGCCCCUUUCAUGAGCAUUUCUCUAGCUAGCAGUAGGGCCCUCGAAAUGGAAUAAAAGAAAUCGAAAUGGACUUCUAUAGAAUUCCGUAAUCCCACUCGAUAAGAAGGUAAUCCCACUCGAAACAAUAAGGUCAUCCAACUCUCUACUGUAAGUAACCUACUAUCAACUCACGCUUAACUUCAUUCCUAAACUCACUAGCGCCGCUCCACCAAUAAGCUUACUUGCGCCCGUUGGUUGCUUUAAUCAAAUAAUAUGGUAUUGGCAGCCUUACCUUUCUACUAAGCACUAAAUGGACAGAGCACUAAAGGGACAGAGGCAUAGGCACCCUUUACGACCGACAGGAAGGAACGAGUAGACCCACCAGCUUUCCUAAAUGUUGCAUAUAGUCCACAACGAAUAGAAGAUAGAUUCAUUACUUAACAACUAAUAGAUUCAUUACUUAACAACUCUUAUUUAGGCACUGAUCUCUACUUUAUGAGCUUAUUUACACUUCGCCUUUCCAGGAGCUCCUUGCCAGCUUGAUAUCUUUGCCCAAUCUUAUAGGGAGCAUGUCAUAUAUAGGGAGCAUGUCAUAGAAUUUAGUGGGUACCUUACAGCUGCCUCUACCAAAAGAAUGGAACAGCCCAAAACUACCUAUAUUAUUUACCCUCCCUCGCUAUUAAUUUACCUUCCCUCGCUAUUAAUAAGGAUUAUUGGAUUGCUCUCUUUCCUAAAAUCCAAGUAUUCGGCUCUUUAGAUUGAAUUGGAGUGUCAGUUCCUUGUGAUCUCAUUUCUGUCCUAAGAGCAUCUCGUUCUAUUCGUUCUGGCAGGAAGCAAGUCUUAACCAAAUGACAGGAGAAGACGAUGGCUUGGCUCCGGGCUAAUUGGAUUCUUAUAAGCCAGGUGUGUUGUGAAAGUCCGCAACAAAGUGUGACCUUGGCUUUCUAAGAGUAAGCAGUCGAAAGAGAUGAACAUAGGACUUGUUUAUGGCUUGUAAUAACUCCUACAGUUGCUCUCCCUUUCUUUCCUUUCUCGUAGCGUAUAAGAUCUAGUUUCUAGGCGUUUUCUUAUCUUCUUCCCGUCCCCUGCUAUUGUCUUGUUUGAAUAAAUAUCUCCUCUCCUCUCUUUCCAGCAAAUCUAUUGCUAUGGGAAUGUAAGGGGCGAAAUGCUUUUGGGAGUUUCAAAUACACAUGGAUCCUAUGAUUCCCGAAUGGGUCAACCUUUUCUUUGGAACUGCUGCUGAAUCAAUGGCCAAUGAUAAAGAGUGGGGCUUAUGUUAUAGGGGCUUUCCAUGGAAAAAGAGUGCUCAUGCCCUGAAGACUGCAGAUUCGAAUCAUUUCCCCCCUACCGCUUGGUAGAUUAGGCGUGGACAGGAAAGUGUGCAGGAUGUCAAGUAGGUAGGAGUAGUUACCCUUCACACUUGCAUUGAAGAAUCGCGCAUGUCAAAGCAUAUAGGCCAUUGCGAAGGAAAAGCGGGUCACCUCAAUUCCAAUUGUUCAAAGUGAGAAAGCCCAGAAAUCGAUCUUUGAUAUACCCCUGACUUUCUUUCUCUGCUUAUAUCAAAGCUGCUUCCCAUGGCGCGUAUUUCCUGUGGACCGGCCAUGUUUUACAGACUGCCUCAAGGCGGAAUACCCUCCUGUAACGAAUCCCGAAGGAUCAACUCUUUUCAAUUGAGAGCGAGCUGCUAAAUAGGCUACUGGCGAAUUUCUUACCUUUCUAAGCAACGUUGCUUGUCGGUUUGUCUAGUAGUAACUUGGCUAUGCAACUUCCAAUCUUAGGAAUGGUAGUUUUCAUAAAGUAGUAAACUGGGCGGAUACGCUUCCCAAUGGUUCCUUGUAUUCUUUUCCUAUUCUCCUUUCUAUGUCUAUGAGUUUCCACAAAGAAAGAUUUGUGACCUUCCCCUGAUGUUUCUGAAUUCAAUAAAACCUUAUAGUAUAUAAAACUUGAUAGUAUAAGUAUGUUCACAAUAUUGGAGGUGAUAUCAAAUAUGAUGCUAUUCCAACCCCCUGACACUUUCUUAUUCAUGUCAGCAUUGAUUAUAUAAAAUAAGUCAUUAUAUCGGCACUAGUUUCCUUAGCAAUACACAGUUUAGUUCUACAUAUCCAUCUUGAGAAAUGGAGUUAGUAUAGGAAUUUCAUUUAGUAGGCUGCUAAGCUAGUAUAAUAGCUGUUCUGCGCUUAUGAGACUCCGCCCAUUUAUUAAAGUAUUCGGCCCUAUAUUAUGGGGAUCCCUUACCCCAACCCAUAUGUCUUUCCGCAGGUCUUACAGUCAACAGGUUUGUCGGGAAAUAUACAUAACCAUAUUUUGCACCGCGCAUAUCGUGUCAUUGCUCCUCGCCUCGCCCCGCUUCCAGCGGACUCUAAUCUCACUCGGGCUACAAUACCUAUGGCUCUUCCUUGAACUCCACUCGACUUUCUGGUUACCAAUUAUAUACAAUACACUUUUCUUGGUGCAUAACUAUCUCCUUGACCUCGAACAAACAUAACUCCUAUACAGUAAGUGAACAAGCUUAGGCGCUAACAGGAAGUGUAGUUUCAGUUUCAAGAUCAGUUUCAAGAUAUGAGGAUCCGUUCUCAAGUAAUCCGCAAUCUCAGUUCGACACGACCGACAGAAUGGAAUUGAUACAAAAAACUCCACUCCGGAAAGUGCAAGAAGAAUUGAUAGCUAUCCCCAUAUAUGUCAAUUGAGUAACUAAGCUUCUUGUCCCAUCUUCCUCAUCGCCCAGCUGCUAUACCUUGAAUUGAAUACGAGAGAGGAGGUGUUAGGCUUUCACCUAGUAGUUUCGUGGAGUUCGAGAACUAAUUAAUACACACCUCUACGAUUUUAGGAUGCAAAUCUUUGUUUUGAAGUCUGCUCCGAGGUUAAAGUACUGGUUUUUUAACGGAAAUUGACAUUUAAGUACUUCUUUUUGGCAUCUACCUCGUCAAAGGGCUCAAUAACACUGGUUCAGUGUGCUUCUUUACUAAGAGCUAUACCAUGUGCUCGAAAUACAUAAUGGGAUUCCACACUUCAAGUCUUGUUCGGGGUCGGUAACACCUCUCUAGUUUGUAACUAAUCCUUUAACACUCCUGGACUUCUACUCGAUAGAGUGAUCGAAUCGGUAGCUGUGCGUGCCAUGGAUGGAAUUUCUCUAAUCGACCGCUAUUAGAUAGAUGGAUUCGCCUCGAGGUUUGUGCGAUAAGACUUGUUUGUUCUCCCUUUCACACGGAGCGCUCACUCGAAAUAUCAUAGAAUAUAGAGAUCGGAUCGUCACCAGGCGAAAGAUAGUUCCCGCACCCGUUGAAGAAGCCGUGAUUGCUUGAGGUGAAUCAGUGGAGUUGUGUAUAUAAGAUAGAGGUUUCGCUUGUAAGCCAAGCAAGUAAGUCGCCAGCUUUCGAGAUGAAUGAGACCAUUUCUUUCUCUUGUGUUACACCCAAACAAAACUCCAGUGGUAGUAGAGUCCGGGGAGUCCCACAUCGCCCGUCGCCUCGAAGUAGUGAGGGACAGAGAGUGGUCAAUCCGAACAAGAGAUUAAGAACCAAGACCCCCAAUUAUGCAAAGAGUACUAACAACGCUUCAAAGAACAUUUUCUCGAAUGGCAAACGGCCGCUAAAACCAAGAAAAGUCAAACCUUAAUAACCUUCAGAUCAAGAGCAAAACGCACUCGAGAAUUCUCCCAGUAACCACAGUUGGCCCAGAGCAUGAGUUGACACCGAAAGGGAUUGCCAAGAGGCAAGCUCAUAAGAGAAAGCCACGAAAGAAGAACGGAUCCCACAAAAAAGGAAUAGAACUUAUACGCUCGCUGUGGGGAAGGUAAGGAUUUCUGGUUGGACUUUAUGCUGGACGGGUACGUGAGUAUGCUUGGGGAGCCGCUUUGCUAGCUUGCUUUGUACACUCGGACUCAUGUGGAUAGUAGCUCCACGUUCAUAACGCUUUGUCAGGCAAUUUCCAGAAAGAUAUGUCGUCUUUCGGGCACCCCUACUAUGCUUUCUAUUUAGUUCAGGCUCCCCAGGGACGAAGUAGACCUACUCUGGUGUGUAGGAAGGCAAUAUUCUCAAUUUCUCAAAGUGCUUUAGGUUCUUAGUUUCAAUCGGCUACCUUUGAUCUCUUCUCUUCGUCAUCCCGCUUAGAAUAACUAUCAGAAUAAAGAGCUUGGAUUCUAUAUACCACCAGCUUUCCUUUCGGGGUCAGGAAAUAAGGAAUAAAGGGAGUCAAGCCAUUCUUUGCUUUGUCAGAAGUCCCAGUAUCCGGCACUCCAUCUCUUUCGAGGCUUUAUUUCUUUCAUUUCGGCUUAGCUUUAAGAAGGGCUUUCGCUUAAGGACAUAGAGAGACUUCGAACUGCUCCAAAUAGAAAGGUUAAGCCCGCGUAUAAAGACUUGUAACUGGACCUUAUUACCUCUCAAUGAAAGAACGAACUUCAGUUACCUAGCAUCAAGCUUGCUACCCUUGAUUGCAUUCUUACUAGCACAAGCAUCAGUCUUGGAGUUACUGCUUUCAGGCUUAAGAACCCCGAUAAUGGCAGGGAAUCGAUAGGAAUACAGAGGGAAUCAGCGGGCACCGCAUCAGUCUACCUAGCAGCUGUACCAGAGCUACCCCAUACUUCAAAUACCGAGCAUCAGUCCGGUUAGCACAAGUUUCAUCCUGAUACUACUUGGUUCUAUUCUUUGAUUUAGUGGUUUAAUCCUAACCUCCUCCGCUCCCUUCCUAUCCUGUGACUACUAAGCUCCAGUCUUCCACAACCCAGUUUCAGGCUUGCAUCCCGUAUUCAUAGCUUGGAGUUCAGGCUUGGACUCCUUUGUCUCAGUCACCAAGCAACUACUAAUGACCAAGCCUCCAACUAAGCACUAAGUAUACGCUUGGCAGUUGCAAGAGAAGUAAUAAGAAGAGUAGAAAGUAAGGCAGAAAGAACCUCAUUUCUAUCUACAUUUAUGAGAAGUAGUAAUGUUAUGGCAAAGCUGUAAGGCUGUAAAGAAGCUGAGAAGCAAGGAACCAGUCACUAGUUACGCUAACUGAGCUCCCUCCCUCCAUUUUGAAAGCAAUGUGCUGCUAGUAAAUAAUUGAUAUAUUUUGAGUAAGCAGCAAAUGGUUCACUAACAGAGCUUAUUAUUCGUUGCUUGUUGGUUCCGCAUAGUUAAUGGUUCUUAUCUUGUCUUAUGCCAAUAUUCUAUCUUCCUUAGAGUUGCGCUAACAUUUACUGGCUUGAGUCUCGGGGUGCCUACAUUCGUGCUUUUUAGUCCAUAGCUGAGCUAUUACUCUAUUCUAUUGUAUUAUGUCUAUGUUCCUUUCUUUCGCCUGAGUGCCUAGCUCUGACUUUCCGGGGUGCCUAAGGAAGCAAUGCAGUUUUUCCUCUAUUCUCGUCCUUUUAGGAAGUAAUGCACUGUUAGGUUAAUCUCUUAUUUAUAGACUUUUCGCAUGCCAUUCCAUUCUUCCGCUUAUUCAGUGAGUUCGCCAAAGCCAAAGUUCAUUAGUGAAUUCGUCUUCACACUGGCAAGAAUAAUCAGAUAGGUAGCUGCUUCACACAGGCCCCAUCGUUCAAGAGAAGUGAAGUCAAAAGUACGGUUUUCGUAUCAGAACAAGAAGGUUGUAUCAAAACUGGUUAUUAUUGAAUCAGAGGUGUUGCCCGAGUAUAGACACCUAUUUCUCAUUAUGGAAUCCGUUGAGUUUGGUUCGGGUGCUUGUGUUGCAGUUGAUGAAGUAUAAGUGGAAGUAGGUGAUUGUGCCACACGAGCUCUACUUUACUGUCUCUCGGGCUUACUCCGCCAGGUAGUCAAUCUUACUCACCAGGUAGCCAUAUCGUACUCACCGAUAGCGCCAAGCCUUAUAAUGCCUAUAAAAGAACAUACUUUAUUACACAUAAGAUAUUAAGGGAAACUUGGAAGAAAAUCACUACUAGUCAGAAUGAACUGUAGUAAACUAAGCCUUACCUCUUUUCACUCAAACCUAUGCUCCCAACUCCAACACUACCUUUCGCGCUUUAACAGCAGUUUCUCAUUCCUUUCAUUCAUGCCCAGCGUCCUUACGAUAAGUAGUCUUUGAUUUACUGGCAGAACAGAUCGAUGAUCCUAUCUUCUUGGAUCCAAUUAAGAAAUGACUAAUAAACCAUGGUGAAUCAGCUGACGGAAUAACCUUUCCAAACUAAGGGAUUGGUCUCCUCCCUUAUGAAACCUCUAUAAAAGCCCUUUACCUUUGACUUUGCAUUUCAUAAUAGUAAGGUCCGCCUUGCAAGCCAAGCCUGAAUUUGCUGUUUUGGAAUGUGGUGUGGGUCUAUGACAUCAGGUAGCCUGCAAUCGAAGAAUGAGCCAACAGAGUGACCAUGUUAGUUGAUUUGCUCUUCUUCAAUCGGGUUUGUUUCGCAUUUGGGCAGCGACAGCCCUCCACCUGCGUAGCACUGACACUUGCAUCACCUUUCUUAUAGCCUCCGAGAUCUGAUCCUUUUGGUUUGGCAUCUCCGUUUUUGGAGUACUCUUAUUAAUGAACAUUUUAGAUAAUUGCUCAAAAGCCCGCCAACUUAGAAUGAUCUAGUGAAGUAAACCACUUCAGUGCUACGGGCCCAUAAUACUCUUAUGGAACAAUCGGAUGGCAGCCCAUUCGUCUUUCUAGAAAUAAAGGUCAGACAUCGUCACAAUGAGCUUUAAGAUGAGAUAGAUAGGACAACCUUUUCUUUCGUUGUAUUUUGAGAAUGACUUGGAACCGUAGUUGUGAAUCAGGAAAAAGGCGAAAAUCCAUGAGGUGGAAAAACCGCCAAUGCCUUUCGUUUUCUUAAAGAAAUCCUAAAUCCAAGUUAUUUCAUCUUUUUCUGUGUACUCGUCUAUCUUAGCAGGGUGAAUAGGAUAGGAUUUGACUAGAAGCUAUAGGGGCAAGGUGGUUGGAGAUGAGCUAAACUCCAGUGGAAUAACAGGGGCUAGUUGGAUCACAGGGGAAAGCACAUCAACAGAAAGGUUAAGACAAGGUUUGGGGAUUGAUUGGUCUACUUGGGGUGCGGUUGAGUCCUUCCUCUAAAGAAAUCGCGUAAUAAAUUAGUUCAUCGAAGCUAGUUCCAUACAGACAGAGGCCGAAUGAUGUGAUGCUCAGAUCGAUUCUCGUUGAUUCCAUAUUAUUGAAGUAUUCUUAUUAUACGAAAGAGGGAAAGAUUUCNNNNNNNNNNNNNNNNNNNNNNNNNNNNNNNNNNNNNNNNNNNNNNNNNNNNNNNNNNNNNNNNNNNNNNNNNNNNNNNNNNNNNNNNNNNNNNNNNNNNNNNNNNNNNNNNNNNNNNNNNNNNNNNNNNNNNNNNNNNNNNNNNNNNNNNNNNNNNNNNNNNNNNNNNNNNNNNNNNNNNNNNNNNNNNNNNNNNNNNNNNNNNNNNNNNNNNNNNNNNNNNNNNNNNNNNNNNNNNNNNNNNNNNNNNNNNNNNNNNNNNNNNNNNNNNNNNNNNNNNNNNNNNNNNNNNNNNNNNNNNNNNNNNNNNNNNNNNNNNNNNNNNNNNNNNNNNNNNNNNNNNNNNNNNNNNNNNNNNNNNNNNNNNNNNNNNNNNNNNNNNNNNNNNNNNNNNNNNNNNNNNNNNNNNNNNNNNNNNNNNNNNNNNNNNNNNNNNNNNNNNNNNNNNNNNNNNNNNNNNNNNNNNNNNNNNNNNNNNNNNNNNNNNNNNNNNNNNNNNNNNNNNNNNNNNNNNNNNNNNNNNNNNNNNNNNNNNNNNNNNNNNNNNNNNNNNNNNNNNNNNNNNNNNNNNNNNNNNNNNNNNNNNNNNNNNNNNNNNNNNNNNNNNNNNNNNNNNNNNNNNNNNNNNNNNNNNNNNNNNNNNNNNNNNNNNNNNNNNNNNNNNNNNNNNNNNNNNNNNNNNNNNNNNNNNNNNNNNNNNNNNNNNNNNNNNNNNNNNNNNNNNNNNNNNNNNNNNNNNNNNNNNNNNNNNNNNNNNNNNNNNNNNNNNAAAAAAAGUAGAAUUUCAGAAUGGAACACUAUCCCACCGAGUAAGAAUGCAAAUGAAACCAAAGAAACAGAAGAGGUAUGAUAGAAUGAGAUGAUAGUCCACUACCAUAGAAGAAUUGGAAUCACUAAUAAAGGCUUUCCGCACCUUUAGGAGAAGGUUCGUGGAACAGAACUGGGGUUGGGCAGUCAGGAUACUUAGAAACGAAUACUAGUAGUUAGGGGUCAGACUAAUGGAAGGAUCCGAUCAGUAGCAAAGAGUCUUAUUUACGUUGGUUUCAUUCUACUGGUUGGUAGUUAAAGUCCAAUCAGUACUAGUAGAUUUCUAAUAGCAGUGGUUCGAUCCCGAGUUAGUGGUUGUUGUCUUAGAAUCAGUAGUCGCAGCCGUAUAGUUAGGCAGUAAGAUCCCCCGUUUCGAGUGUGAGUAUAUCGGGUAGUGUUCGAUCCUUGUUUUGACAUUGGUUAGAGGACCCGGAUGCCGAGUGCAAUUCUCACUUCUUUCCCACACCGCGUAGAACUAACAAGCUAUACUUGGGACCCGGACUCCCAUCCGAUGUAUCCUGAGCCCGGUUCCACUAGACCCCUAAGUAUUAGUCUCCUGUUUUCCAGUAGUACCCUUAUGCUUAGUAGCCCUAGUCUUAGUAUCCAGAUUUCUAUCCUUAUUUCUAUACAGAGCGUAUCCGAACUUUCGGGGUGGAUUCUGACUCUUUCUAUCCUCUUAUAUUAAUGAGCUCAAUGCCGAAACGAAACGGGACCCCGAUACACAUUCUUAUACAACUAGAUUGAGUUUUCCGUACUGAGAGUAGAAGUCCUAGUUUUGAGUUCCAUCCUUCAAUCCAUCCUAGGAGUCGCUUCAUUCUUAUACUUAUUAGUUUCAUUCCUGUUUCUUUCUUGCGGUAUUUCAUUAUCUUAUCUAUUAGCUGGAUUCCGAGCUAUGAGUCAAAGUACUAGCGCUUUUCUUACUCAAGUCGUCUUAGUUGCAAGAUCAAGUCUUAUCGACAGCAGUGCCAGUUUGCAAGCGAAUAGCGGUAGACUUCUUCGUGUAUAAGCGGGCUCUAUAAAUGAGUAAGCAAUGCUUGGUGCGCUAAAGUAGGCUUGUAGUUUGUGGUUAAAGAAAGCGAGCUAGGCAGGGCAGCUUUCAGGUAGUAAAGAAAGACGGAAGUGAAGAGCGAGCUAGGGCAUACAAGAAUACACCACCUGACAAGAACCCAGGCUCUGACUAUUGAUCCGGAUCCUUUCUCUUUUAUCUUAAAAAAAGGAAUGGGACUACUAACUAGCAAUUGAACCACUGUGACAACAAGAAUCUAGCUCGAAUAAGGAAGAACACCAAUAAGAAGAAGUCCGAGCCUAUCUCUGAAACUUUGACUGAUGUUAAUAAGAAACGAACUACUGAUCUCGAAUCUGACCCACCCCAUCCCAAGAAAGACACUAGGCUGACUUUACUGUUUCUUAGAACCAAAGCACUGCUUACUUAUAUGACCUUAACUCCGAACUCUAAGCCAGUCCUUACUUCAGCUGAGUCUUACUCCUCUGACAAAGACUUCUACUUGCGACUUUCAAUACCACUUCUACGUGAGAGUCUUACGGCAUUCCCUACUUAGGGGUUUUGGGCUUCUACUGCUUUAGAUCAGGCUGACUUUCCCCUAUCGCAGUUUGCCACUCAGGUCUCUAAACCUUACUUUGCUAGGAUGAACCUAUACUUAUAAUACUUCACUACUAAUAGGAACCACUACUUAAUAGAAUCCGAACUAGGUAAACCACGCCUGACUCUUUAAUCGAAUCCUUAUUGGCUCCUAGCUCCCAGGCACCUGACCUAUCUCCACGUACGGCAAGCAAGUCUUACUCACUAGAAGUUCGGGGACGCUUCGCUAGGUACUCAGAAUUUCACCACUAAAUCAAAGCCUGAAACAAGGUAGUUAAAGAAUCAAACUAGUAAAUCAAAGAAUCAGACACCUAUCCCCAUAAGUACUGAAGUCCUGAAUUGCUAUCCCUAGUUGCAUCUGUGUUUGUUGGGUCAAGAAAAAGUAAGCAGUUAGAGCGGAGCCAGUAGGAAUUGGUAGCGCAUUCCAUUCUUUUAUAGCAGACUUAGAGUUAGAGCACCAGUGCCUGUGAGAAAGUUAGGAAAGGGAGCUGCUCUAGUUUCAUCUCGAGCACCGAACCUAUCUCCACGACAAGAAAGUUAGGAACUGCUAGUAUACUUUCAAGAUCCCGAUAAACCUCUGCUUUAAGCGCCUACCUAAUUCACUUCAUGGUUGCCUACCUAAUCAAGUCUCAAGUAAGCUCCCCGCUAGGCUAGCUAAGAUAACAAAGGUCGAGUAUCGGUCUCAGAGCCGGAAGAGGGCAACAUAUGGUAUAGAACCCAAAGUAAAGAUACUGAACACACAGGAACUUCCUCACCAGCUCCACUAUCUUAUGUCGGAUACAUAUCUCUCAGUUGCUUCAUCUACUGAUCUCGUUUACAAAACCAUAACUUCGGAUUCAGUUGCUGGUUCAGAGGAUCUGAUUGCCCUCACUCCCGGUGUCAUAUAUGGAAGCUACUCUCUGGGUUUGUUUACAGCCAGCCCGAUCCUUAUACUUACAUAGCUCUGGUACUUACAUAGCUUGUUGCUUCUAUAACUCUACUUCAGGAUCAUGCUACAGGUGCUAAGAGGUCUUACCUACCACAACUCGGUUAAGGGACAGCUGUCAAAUAAUCCAUCCACAGAGUCCUCUCUUAUUACCACCUUUUCUAUACUAAACACUGCAUCCCUUCCGCCAAACUCACUAUAUCCUCCCUCUUUUGGUAGGCAUUCAUCAAAAGAAAGAGUCGAUUCGAGAUACGAGAUUAUUCCCGUAAGCCAAACACUUAAGAAGAAAUCUCCGCUUUAGAUAUUCCCUUACAAGAGCAAGCCAAUCACCGACACCGGACCUAUAAAUUCCUCACACUGCUUCAUCUUCUGAUCCAGAAACAGUUGAUUGAGAGUCGACAAUCACUUUCAUUGCUAGAGCGAGACAAUCAGUCCUUUCUGCUGCCGACAAGCGUUACUUACUUUCAACAACACCUUUACUUGGUUGGGCAUUCGAAAAGAUCAGAUAUAGUCGACUUUCCUCUAACUCCACCUCAACUUGAAACAAAGAAUUAUGAAAAUCCAACCAGAACUGGAACUGUUACAGACUUUCAAGCUUAGUUUGGGGAAUCUGAAAGGGAAGGUUUGAAGCACCUUACUCACUUCUAUCAUUGGUGCUCAAUAAGAAAGUGACUCACUUCUAUCAUUGGUGCUCAAUAAGAAAGUAUUGACUCGGAACAAGAAUAGAAAGAUUCAAUAAAAGGUGGACUUGAUUCGGCGUAAGAAAGAACGGUUUUUGUCUUUCUUUUUGUCAUCGGGCUGUAGUUUAGUUCCAGUCUGAAGCGUUAGGAAGUUGAUAACAAAGUAUAGAUUCAUGGCUAAAAUGCACCAGAGGGACCCUUUCUUAGUGGGAAAUAACAUUUCCAUUAGCUAUUAAGAACAUAGGUGAAAUGACGCUUAAGAAGCCUUCUAAAGCAUAAAGCAUAUUCCUGAAGUAUAGUAUCCACCAUCAAGCGCUUCUUUACUUCAAGUAGAGUUAGGGUCGGGUAGGGAAAAGAUAGUAAUUAAUAACAGAGGCCGGCAAGCAAGGGAACCAUCAAGGGAAGCAGUGUUCUUAAUAAGAAUCAAGGUAAGCAGUUUAGGAGGUAGGCCAGAGAACCAGUUAGAGCCGAGCCAGUAGUUUAGAGUUGAGGUCGGGUCAGGAAGCUGUUUCAUCUGUAGGCGUAGUGGUGAAGUUGCAUCUGUAUUAGUUGACUCCGGUGUAUUAGUUGACUCAGGUAGAUGAGCCAUAGGGUAAAGAUGUUAGGAAGAAAUUGACUUAUACAGCCGAGAAGUGGAUGAAAUAGGGAAUUGUCUUGUUCCAGUGAUCCAGUAGCGUUACAGUUCAAGUUAGAGUGGAAUACCGGUAGUACUAUAGCGUAAAGGUCUAGGUCAUCUGCUUGUGUUCAGCAAGUAGUAAAUAGAUAAGUAGUUGCUAAGUAGUAGGCUUGGCGGCUCGGGUAGUUACUUGGCGAGUAGAUAAUUUCUUCUAUCUUUAUUAAGGAAACCGGAACUCUGAAUUCCAAUACUCAGCGCUUAUUGUAAGUUCAGCUCAGUGACUUUGUCUCCGUGUAGGGCAGUUUCGAGUGUCAAUUCCCAUUCUUAAAUAAGAUAAGAUAGGCCAAGAAACAGUACUAGAGCAAGAAAGCUGAAUGGAAUUAGCUGACUACGGAGACGAACAGAGGUUUAGGAGCAAUAAGUAUAUUUGUUUACAGAGCCAGAGAUGAGCCUCAUGCAGCAAGUAGGAAUUAAGUUAGAUAAGGUAGAGACACCCUCAUAAGUAGAAAUUACUGAAUUGAACCACAAGUAGAAGAAUGCAGUUAAUAGUUGACAGUUGCCAUAGGUAGAGGAGAGGAGCCUAAUUCAGUUAUUAGUGGACAGCUUUGCUUGUUGAAAUCAGUAUUUGUUUACAGAGGAUUGGUAUAGUUGACAGCUGCUGGGCUAGUUUAAUUACUUGCUUGGCGAGUGGAAUUACUUGUUUGAUUCCAAUACAAGGGAGUAGGGCUUGUUGAAGUCUUUUACUAGUUAUUCAGUCAGUUAGUAGUUAUGAACUCAGUUGGCAAGUAGGGAGAAUGUCCUGUUCCUUUACUUGUAUAGUAGGGAGAAUGUCCUGUUCCUUUACUUGUAUAGUCGUUGCUUGGCCCGAUGUCACUACUUAGCAUCUGUAACUCCGGUAGGGAACUUGCUCUGUUACUCAGGUAGGGAAAGAUACUUAUUGAACUAACGCAGUUACUUAGCCCCCUUUAUGAAUUUACUUACGUAAUAUAAGUAAGGCAACCGGAACUGGCCUUAACCUUGUUUGUCCUACUUUUGGUGUUCAUGGUGGCAGGGCAGGGAAAUCAGAUCCUCAUGGCACACUACUUUAUGCUCUUGUUGUUGGCAAAGGUGAGGAAGCCGGGUUGACAGUUCCAGUUCUCAAGUAAGGGUAAGGUUCUGUAGUUCCUAGUUGUGAGUUAGAGUGUAAGACCGGUUAGUAUAAUAUUAAGAGAACUCAGUAGUCAAAGAGCCAGUAGUUGUAGUCCCGGGGAUAAGAGAUAUGGUAUAAGAGAUAUGGUAUAAGAGAUAUAGGAGCUAGUAGCCGAGGUUCACUCAUCGGUCAGAAUUGCACUCUGUAGUCAAAGCGCAUCUAGUAGAAGAGGGUUACUUCGCUCUCCGCUCUAAUCUGAGUCUUAUACUUGUCUGAUUGGUCCCUAGUUUCAUCAGUAGUAGUAGAGAGGUGAGCUAUUGGGUAUAAGCCUUAAGUCAGUGGUCCUGUGUUCGGGUACUCAGACUGGUGCUUAGGUAUUGCAGGCUGAAGCUGGGUAGCUAAGGUCUCUACCUAGUGCUGCUAGUUAUUGGUAUGUUGCUGGGCAGACUGAAAGCAAGGAGAGCUAGCUCCGACUUAAACCAGUGAGUUACAGACUGAUGCGGGGCAUAGCAAGAAUGAGAGGAAGUAGUUACAGAAUAGACCUAUAGGGCGAGCAAGACUCAAACCAGUGCCCACUCAGAGCCAACCCACUAACAACCAGAAUCAAACUAGCAACUAUCAGAAUGGAACUCCUAAGUAACAGUCACUUACCACAGCCCCGAUGCCUAGGUAUAAGAUCCGAAUUGAACUCAUAGGUGAGCUAGUAGGAGCUACCUAGUACUAAGAUCAGAAUUCCACUCAGAGGUCAGCUAUUUGGGAAGUUAGAAUUGAACCACUAACAACUACUAGGCCAGCAUCUAGGGCAACUACUUAGAGGUGAGAAUACAAGUCAGUAGUGCAAGUUAGAAUUGAACUAAGGAGUCCAAGCCUGAGCAGAGGGAGCUCGCUAAACUCAGACUGAAACCAGUGUGCGAGUAAGACUUAUGCUCGGGAGUUACAGAAUUGAACUAGUUGUCGACUUAGCGGGGUGCUCUUACUCUUGGGGCGGGCUUUCCCUUGUAAUAUAGUUAGGGUCGGGGUUCCUAUUGCCUAUCAAACAAAUAGAGCCUUGUCUCACUCCUAUACGAGUGGUAGGCUUGUUUACUGACUUGGCCCCUACUAAAUUCUAUAUUAUCUUAUUAAGGAUAAUGUUUAGAGAAAGAGUUAAGUGCGAACAAGUAAAGGAAGGAGAGUAGAGGUUGUAAAAGGUGAGGAAGCAGUCCUUUGUUCACCGGUAUGAGUAACAAAUCUAUAGAAAAUUCUCUGAUAAUUAAGUGCCAGGAAAGUCAAGUUCUAGGGCAUAGGAAGGAUCUUAAGCUGUUCGGUAUCUUGGUCUUGGCACAGGUUAGAGGUCAGCAGCAAGCGAGAAGGUAAGGUAAGUGAAUCCAGAGUAUCAAUAAGCUCAAAGUGGGUGUUGCGCUUAAGUAUCAAGUUCAAGUAAGUCAGCAACCCGAUUACUAACGCUAAAAACAGGACUUGCUCCAGGCGAUGAAGGGAUGGUUUACCUUUCUUGUCUUAGAAAGAGAGAAUCUUAUGGAUCCGUAUCUGUUGUAAAAGAAGGAUCAGUUGCAGUAUCAAGAGCAAAUAAGUCCAUUUGAAUAGAGGAUCUGGACCAUAAGUGGUGAGAUCCGUUCUUGUCUCUAAGGAGAGUAAGGAGCUGCCCUGCCCGUUCUUAGUAGUGUUACGUUCGAGCAUUGUUUGCAAAAGAGGUUUUUGGCAACUUAGACUUCAAUCCUAUAGAUGGGUUGGUUGGUGGCUUCAACCAGUACCCAGCAAGCCUUAAAGCGAGGGCAGCUAGUAAGGAACACAGAAUUCACCAAUAAUCAAGAAUAAGGGAUCUACUAACCGGUCUGCUUCUCUGCAUCCCUAUUAAACCAGUAAGUCCAAGAAUGAGCCAAGGUAAGGAAAGUAUUAAUUGACCCGCCCCAGUGACAGUGAGAAAGUGGGGUUAUGAGAGGCAGUCUCGGGAUACAAUUCCAUACCAGAGUAGAGGUACGCAAGGGAAGAAAGAGAAUCCGGGUUGGUAGUAUAAGUAGGGCGCUACUCUUUGAGUCUAGAUGAAAUUAGUAGUUGCCAGCAGCAAAGCAAGUGGAAUGAUUUGUUUCAAGGGGAGUUUCAUCUGGUCUGGGUGUUGAAAGGAGAGUUGAGAGUUGUAAGGUAGUUACAGAAUGCAACCACUGCCACUGAUUCCUGUACUGAUGUUAGUGGUAUUGAUUCUCUGAUGAGCUAGUAUUGGUAUGUAGCUAGUAAGCCCUAAGUUCACAAGUGAGAAUUCCCCCCUUAUUAUAAUCCGACUGAUUCUUUCACUCCGCAGUCAAAGAAAGAAACUAGUAAGUAUAAGACCUCAACCGGUGAGUAUAAGCCUGAAACCAAACCAGUAACGACCAGGCUAUAAACCUAGCAACCAGAACCAGUGAACUAACAACAAGACUUCAACUCAGAGGUGAGCUAGUCGGAAAGGUAUUAAUUGCCUGCUUGCUGCUAGGUAAGCUAGUAGUUAAGUUAGAAUGAAACCCAUAAGUCACAGUCUUCACAGGCCCGCUACUUAUUAAGGCUUGCCCGCAUCUGAAGUAAGAAUCAAACUAGUCAGAUAAAGGCUAAGGACUGAACUCAGUAGUUACAGAAUGACACAGGAGACCAUCCAGGAGUGCUAGCUUUGAUGCCCUGUCAAAGGAAUGAAUCUAGUUUACUUACCGCCAAGAGGGAGAGGUGAGCUAGUAGGCAAGUAAAAGACAAACUAACACACUAGAAUAAGGAAUGGAAGAAUUGCCCUCUUGUUUAAGAAAGUCAACUCGAAUUGCCUGGCCUGAUUCCGAUUGCCUAACACCGAGAGAAUAUCCUUCUUAAGCUCUUGUUAGCGGUGCGACUUACUAUUUCGUAUCAAGAAGAAGAGAAUCAGCUGUUUCCAGAGCUGGAUCUAAAGAAAAGAAUGAAGCAGUAGGCGAACUAUGAUUCUGCUUCAACAAGACUAAGUGCGCUAACUGGUUACUUUCCGGGCGAAGGAGUGUACUCUUACUUAAACCUAUACUAUAGUCACUAUCUAGAUUCAAUUAGUAAACUCCCCAGAGUAACUAUCUAGAUUCAAUUAGUAAACAAUCGGAUUCUCUCUCUCUCUCUGGGUUACUUGAAUAUUGAUUUGUUACUGCGCCAACAACACCUUUCCUUUCUACCUCAGCUGUAUAGAUUAGUAUUAGAUUGGAUUUCUUUAUACGAUGAAAGUCAACUUGCAGUUCUGAACCGCCAACACCGAGAUCCUCUACAUCUCUUACCUCUUGCUCCGAGACCUUAGUCAACAACUACUGAUUCCACAGCUGACCUUGCAAGACCCAACAAAGACAGAUUCAAAAAGCAAGUAAGUCAACUAAGUAAACCAGCCUAUCCCUUAACUACCCUAACAAGUAUUUCGUAC
rnacentral:lncRNA from 1 species